CGAGGUGGUUGGGAGGAAUACUUGCCAUUAGUGGAGUUUGCCUACAAUAAUAGCUAUCAGUCUAGCAUUCAGAUGCCACUUUACGAGGCUCUGUAUGAUCGUAAGUGUCGCACUCCCUUGUGUUGGACUGAGUUGGGUGAACGACGUGUUCUGGGUACUGAGUUGGUUUCUGAGACUGAGCAUAAGGUCAGAUUGAUUUGAGAUCGACUGAAAAUGGUAUCGGAUAGACAAAAGUCUUUUACGAACUUAAAGCAACGCAAUAUCGAGUAUUCUAUGGGACACUUCGUGUUUCUUAAGGUCUCGCCAUGAAAGAAGGUACUGAGAUUUGGUCGUAAAAGCAAGUUGAGCCCUAGGUUCAUUGGACCCUAUCACAUACUGAAAUGUGUGGGACUAAUUGCCUUCCAGUUAGAGCUACCUCCAGAGUUGGAUCAGAUUCAUGAUGUGUGUACAGGCCAAUUUUGGACCCAAUACAACAAAAUAUUAACCCAACCUCAACCCAUUUACAUCAGACCCAAUAACCCCCCAAACCUUAACCCAAAUCAAACCCAUUCCCAAUACAUUACCCAAAUCAUUAAGCCCAUUAUCCAAACCCUACCCAAUCAGCUACCCGGAGCCCAAUGUUACCCACAAGCCCGUUUGCAAUAUUCAUCCCCAACCCACCUAAACCCAAAUCUACCUAUAACCUAAACACUCAACUCCAAGCCCAGAAGCCCAAUUUUAGACAUUAGGGUUUCAGUUUCUGAAACCCUAAACCUGCCUAGCGCCGCAACCACCCCCACCAACCCUCUGACGACCCCAUGCCCUCUAACGUUGCCUCAACAACCGCUCCACCAUCCUCCAUAUUGCACCAUCCCCUGCAUGCAUUAAAAGAGAAUAGACAGCAAGUAAGAAGAGAGCAGUAUAUAAUCAAAACAUACAAUGUAAAAAGGGGGUUCCUUUUUUCGUCAGUUUUGAAAACAAAAAGAAAUAAGAACAAACCAUUUCAAAUAUUAAGCAACAAUAGCAUUUCCCUCAGUACUUAGACACAAAAAAAUAGCAACCAAGCAAAAAGAACAUCUCAGAUCAAAGAAACAGAAACUAAAACCGAAAGGUGAUUAUUUUUUUCCUAUUUCUAUUUCAUUUUUUUAACCUGUUUUAAUCUACCAUACAUAUUAAAAUAUAAUAAGAUAAUAAAAAAAUAACAAAAAAUGAACCUUUUUGAACUUUCGACCACCGUGUACGGUGGCCGGAGCCGGUGCCGGCGUCGACGAGCCUCCAAUGACCGUCCGGUGACCGGUUUCCCCACCGAAAAUCACCCCGUGCUCCCCUCUCCCUCAUUUUUUUUUCUUUUCCCUGUCCAAAUGUUUUUUUUUUCAGAUUUUUAGGCUAUUUAUAGCCUACCAAAACGGCACCGUUUUGGUACCAAAAUGGCACCGUUUUGGUGCCCAAACUUAGACUAAAAAAUGACGUCGUUUUACUUGGCCCGACCCGAUUCGACCCGAACCCGCUUCAGGAUCCGCGUGUUUUUAACUCAAUGGGAUAUUUGUGCAAUCGGUCCUUCCGCAUUUUUGUGUUUUAAAUCAAGUUUAUAUUUAUUUAUAAAUCGGCCCUAAAAUUUAAUCUGAUUUGCGAUCUAGUCCCUCCGUGCUGCACAGCGUUUUGGUGAAAGGGAAUAUUUGCUGUUUUAACCCUCCUAAGUUAUGCGCGCGUGGCAUUUUGGUCCUUCCCUGCUAUUUUAUUUCUAAUUUCGCCCCAAAAUGUUGUUUUAAGUUCAAUUUAGUCCUUUGGUUAAUUUACUGCUUUAUUUUUAAUUUACUUGUUUUCAUUUUCUGUAUUUUAUUUGUUAUAAUAUUUAUAUUUGUUAUAUUAAAUGUAUUUAUUAUAUGUCUUUUAAAUAUUAUGUUAUAUAUAUGUAUUUUCAAUAUUGUUGUUAUAUUUAUUAUUAUUAUAUAUAUUUGUUCUAGUAUAUAUGUAUAUAUUUACACGUAUAGGUUUAUUUUUAUUUCAAUAUCUUUAUUAUAUUUGUUUUUGGUAUUUUAAUAAUAUUGUUAUAUUAUUAUAAUAGUGUAUACUUUUAUUUAUGUACAUAGAUUUAUAUAUAUGAUGUAUUUUUGUUAUAUUAUAUUGUAUUUUAAUAUCGUUACUAUUAUAAUUGCUAACAUAGUGAAUGCCUUGUUAUAUAUGUAUAUGUUUUUAUGUCAUCAUUGUUGAUUAUCAUUAACUUUAAUAUGUGUCUCAUUAUAUGUCCUUAAAUAUACAUAUAGAUAUAUAUACAUGCAAUAUUAUAAUAGUUUUCUUUGACAUCAUUAUCUCCAAUAUAUGUAUAUGUUAUGUAAAUAUUUUAAUGUCAUAUUAUAUAUACAUUUUUACACUAUGCAUACAUACUUUUAACAUUAUAUUUUAUAUGUAUACUCUUAACAUCAUAUUAUAUAUAUAUCUUGCACAAAAUUUUUAAUACUUUACUAUAUAUACCUUUAUAUAUUAUAUAUAUAUUUUAGUAUUAUGUUUUUAUAUCUAUGUUUUAAUACCAUACUAUAUAUAUUAUUAUAUUUUAUUACAUAAUUAGUACCCAUGUUUUAUUAUACAUAUAUAUAUACUCUUUUAUUUGUGUUAUUUCCGUAUGUCAUAUUAUUCAUUUUUAUACUCAUUAUUUUCAUUAUUGUCACUUAUAUAUUAUUAUUUGGUGUACAUACAUCUUUUAUUAUUAUUAGUAUAUAAAUGUAUUUUCCUUGUCUAUAUUGUUCCUAAUAUAUAUUGCACAUGUUCAUUUAUACUAUGUGUACAUGUAUCUAGUAUAUAUAUAUUUAGUAUUAUUACACAUAUAUCUUUUAGGGAUUAUACUUUCAUGCGUCAUGUAUAUAUGUCAUGUAUUAUAUUUUUGCAUAUUAUCUUAUGUACAUAUUAUCUUAUAUUAUUAUUACUAAGUGUAUUUUAUAUUUGUUCAUGACUUGUUUUUUUAUUAUUAUUUCUUUUGUAAAUAUCAUUGUUAUUGUUUUUCUAAUGCUCUAGUGUUCAUGUUAAUAUUUUUCAUUAAUAAUGUCAUUAUUUGCAUCGUUGAUUUACUUAAAAUUCUCACUUUAUAAAUAUCUUUCCCAUGUUUUAAUCAAUUUCAAUAAUCAAGGCAAUGUAUCGAUUUAACAUUAAGUCGUAAGUUUCAUCACUAUGUUGGAUGAAAUUUAUCAGCUCGUGUUAAAAUGGUAUACCCUUCUCAAAAACUAAAAAAACUAAAACUAAAACUUCUCGUCUUUGCAAUCGGAUCACGACUAAAUGUUGCAUUGAAUUCGUAUUUUUGAAAAUCAAGACAACACAUGUUUAUACGAUACCAGUUUUGGGCAUCGCGAGGGUGCUAAUACCUUCCUCGCGCGUAACCGACUCCCGAACCUUAAUUUUUCUCUGGAUUUUAACGUAGACCUAAACUGAGCCUUCUUUUGUUUAAAAAAUAGAUCUAAUAGGUGUCCGAUCACACCUAUAAAAAAUGGAUUGGUGGCGACUCCUUGUUUAUUCUAAAAUAAAAUUUUAGUUUCCAAGUUUUCAAUAGAUCGCCACAAUUAGCACCCCAAACUAAAAAUUUUUACGUCGCUACAGCUAGCGACUCCACUGGGGACCCUCAUUUUUGAGAGUCGAGUCGAAUUAAACGCGUGUUGUCAAAAUUUUCAAAAUUCCUUGUUCAAAUUAAUAUUUAGUCGUGAUCCUAAAAUUGUGUUUUUGAAAAGUCAUGCAUUUGCAUCGUGUUGUAUAUAUUCUUCUAACUUGUUUUGUCUGGUUGUUUUAAAGCUUUAAAUUCUUAUGGUUUUAGUUUUGGUUUAGUUUUUAAAUAAAACAUAAAGGUUUGUGAGUUUCUCCCUACACACUGUGCACGUGCAUUCUUGCAUAACAUGAGCUCUAUACCCGGGCUCCAUCCAUUUAAGUGAAAGUAAACGCUAUGCCUUCGUGAGUUAACUCAUCCCUCCGCACAGGCUAGUGAAUACUUUCGGGUUACAUAUGACUUAUGCUUUCGUGAGUUAACUUGUCCCUCCGCAUAGGCAUAAGUAAAUCUAAUCCCUCGAAUUGAACUCGUGAGCCUGUGAUGGGCUACGACCGAGGCUUCGAACUAAUCUUAGUAGAUGACAGUACGGACAAUUCGAGUGCCUAUCUAGAACCGAAACCGCAUAUAGUGAACCGUACGAGCCACCUAACUAGAGCCAUGCCGAACCUCCGUCCGUUAAUGGUCACCAAAAUUAGUACAUGGGAGAAACGCCUCUUGUCUCUCAUUUUCUUUACAAGUACACUGUUUAUGCAAAAGAACUGAAUCGGGUAGCUUAAUUUGUUUCUCAAUUUAUAAUUGUUGUGGUUACUAACCAAGUUUGCUUGUUUUUAUUUUUAUUUUACAUCAUGCAUUAUAGGCAUCAUAUUAGAAAGGUGUUGACUAGAGAUUUGGUUGCCAAAAAAUGGGUUUCUAAUGGAAGAGUUAAUUAUACAAACAACCGAGAAGAAUGCCGUGGUUCGGGACUGGUCUCUAAAAACUCAGAAAGAAAAAGGGGAUAGUCUAGUGGAGGGAUGUAUUGCCAAUCUGCCCGAGCACGUAACUGUUAAUGUUCGCCAGAAUAACCUUGAAGAUUUGGUUCGGGUUUGGAAUCAGUGGGACUUGGACACUAGGGUUAUUUUCACCGAGAGAUAUGGAGACAUAGCCAAUUUGAUUGCUAUCAACGUAGACGAACGAUUGAUCCAAGCCAUGGUCAGAUUUUAGGAUCCGGCUUACCAAUGUUUUACCUUCAAUCGAGAAGAUAUGACUCUAACUAUAGAAGAGUAUGUUGCUUUACUUCGUGUUGAAAAUGCACAAUUCCAUAAAGUUUAUGUGAAGGAGCCUAAGCCAAUGACCUUCAAGAAAAAGUUAGUGAGAUUGACAGACAUGACUGACGCAUGGGCUGAAAAAUAGAUAAAGAAGAAGAAUGAAACCAUUUGCAUCCCAUGGACUUUCCUAUGAGAUUUGGUUUUGAACUGUCCCGACAUGUUGAAAAGAGUAAAUCUAUUUGCUUUGGCCAUUUACGGUUUGAUCAUCUUCCCGAAAGUCCUUGGACACAGAAGUUACGAUGGUGGAUUUCUUCGAAAGACUAAAACAAGGAAUCAACCCUGUCCCAACUAUCUUGGCCGAGACCUUUAGAUCCUUAAACAAUUGUAGGAAAAUGGGGAAAGAACGCUUUAUCGGAUGCGCGCAGUUACUAAAUGUCUGGAUUUUGAGCCAUUUUUGGAAAGUAGAGCGCACACCGUACCACAUGUUUUCAAAAGCUUUCGCCUCGUUGGAAGCCUAUAUUGAGAGAGAAUAGCCAAAGGAUGUCACUGAAGAACAAUGGCUUUCAGUUUUUCAAAACCUUCGAGCUAAAGAUGUAACCUGAAGAGCACCGUGGAUUCGCCCUUCGGUUCUAUUAUACAAGGUUGGAAAUCAAGAUUAUUAUGGGGAGGAGUUGGGUAUGCCACGCUAUUAGUCCAAAGGUAAUUUUCUUCGCGACAAUUCAUACCCGCCACUGGAGGAUUAGCACAGUCCGAGUUUGCUUUUGCGGGUGAAGGGUAUAUGAAGAGGGUCCGAGAUACUGCAAAGUCUUGGAAGAAAAUUCAUCUCAUGGAAUUAGCUCUAUAUGCUGAUACCCUCACCCAAGAUUACGACAUCUGGAAGAAACAAUGGGUGAAUAGUCAGCAAAUCUCGUCAACGAACUACACCGUCCAAAAUCCUUUCUCGGAAGAAAUGCCAUCUGAGCUAGAAAUAGCAAGACAAGAAUUUGAACGAGAAAAGGCCAAGAUGUCUCGGGACCUUAGUGCUCUUCAAGAGGAAAACUACCAAUUGACGAUCGACGUUUAGAUUGAAAGAUCUAGAACCGAGAAAGUGCAAAAAGAAGUUGAAGUCAUGAGAAAUGACUUAAGGGACCUCCAUCUAGAAAAUAAAAAGUUAAGAGGCAUAAUAAAAAAUAGUGGGCUGGGCAAGUCGUCGGCAGAAUGGAAAGAAGAAAUAAGCAACAUUAAAGGUGGGAUGGAAUUUUGAAAAAGAAAAGAGAAGAAAGAGGAGGAAAAGGCUGCACAGGCUAUGAUAGAACUGAGGAAGAAGAACGCCGAAUAUGAAGCUGUGUCUGCCGAGGUAAUGACUAGUCGAUCUAAAUGUCAAGAACUAAAAGAGAGGAUACGAGAGUUAGAAGAUAUACUGCAAGAUCAUCAACAACAGCUAGAUACUCUCUUGAAAGCUUUGGAAGAAAAGAAUAGCCAAUAUGAUAGAGACAUUCGUGCUUACGAAGAGGGCCUCCAAGAAAAAGAAAUACAACUUAGCUUUUUGAUAAAUGAAAUUCGUGGGGUAGCCAUGCACGUGGUACAACUAUCAGAAGCAGAUGAAAUUCUCAUUUGCCAGUUCCCACCAAGUCGAAGAUAGAACAUAUCAGAAUUUUUAGCACGAGUAAAGAAAUACGGCAAUAUAGCUAGGAAGUUUGUGUAAUGGCUGAAUCAAAAAUGGCAAAAUGUUUUGUAAUGAACUCUUUUGAUGAAUGAAAUGCCUAAAUAGGGGCUAUCUUGAAAUCAACACCAAUUUCUUGCAUUUCCUUCAUGAUUGGCAUUCAUUUAUGCAUUCAUUCAUUGCAUAUCCCAUAAUCAUUCGCUAAGGUUAAAAUAUACAAUUCGUAGUUGUAAUACCACAAGCCUGGAACCACGUCAUUUGUAUAGAACGCGUCGACAAACUAGGGCAAUGGAGGCUGAAUUCAAUGAAAGAAUCGAAAGAAUGGAAAGAGUCCAAAGGGAAUUACAAGAGCAGUUGGCCAAGUCGCAACAAGAGACAAGAGAUUUAAUGGUGAUAUCUCAAGAAGAAUCACUCGAACAGAAGGAUCAAAUGGCCAAGAUGAUGGAAAUGAUGUCAGCUUUAGUUAAGGGAAAGGGACCCAUGCAGAGCCCUGGCAUCGAGAAACCUCAAUCAAGAGUUAAUCACAGUCAAGAUCCGCUUUAUCCCCCAGGAUUCACUCCGCCGCACGCCCAUGCAACACAAAGAGGGUACACCCAAAGGGAACCCACAGACAUGGAGCAACGGGCGGUGCCACCUGCUCACGUAGGACAAAGAAUGUUUAUAUCAAACCCAGGGGCUAGUCCUGCUGAUCCACUCGUUCUAGAUUUGGACGAUCCAGCAGAAAUAGCGAAGUUGAAUAUCGGUGAUCACGAGGUUCAAGAGAAGUAUAGGAGCUUAGAGGAAAGACUUAAAGCAAUAGAGGGUACUGAAGCCUUCUCUACACUGAGUGCCAAAGAGCUCAGUUUGGUACCCGAUCUGGUUCUGCCUCCAAAAUUUAAAGUACUAGAUUUCAAAAAAUACGAUGGCACGAGAUGUCCAAAGGCGCAUCUUGUCAUGUUUUGCCAGAAAAUGACUGGUUACGUGAAUCAAGACAAGCUACUCAUACAUUGUUUUCAGGAUAGUCUCGUAGGAUCGGCUCUUCGGUGGUACAACCAGCUUAGUAGGGAAAAGAUCCAAUCCUGGAAGGACUUGGCGUCAGCCUGCUGUGAGCAGUAUAAGCAUGUAUUGGAUAUGGUGCCUGAUCGAAUGACCCUACAAAUGAUGGAAAAGAAACCAGUAGAAACCUUUAGACAGUAUGCACAAAGGUGGAGAGAUGCCUCGGCCUAAGUAGAGCCUCCACUGACUAAGACUGAGUUAACAGUCCUUUUCAUCAAUACUCUGAGAGCACCAUUCUAUGACAAGCUAGUGAGAAGUGCCACGAAGGACUUUGCGGAUAUUGUAAUAUCUGGUGAGCUUAUAGAGAAUGCCAUCAAGAGCAGUAGAAUGGAGGGUCAAAAAAGUUCAAGAAAGGUAGCGCACAUGAAGAAGAAAGAACCAGAAGCCCAUAUGGUGGGAAUGGGAAGCCGUUAUACCCUUAAUCCAUAUCCAAACCAACCCCGACCUCGAAAUUAUCCUCCCCCAAAUUUCUAUUAUCCUCCUCAGACCCCUUACUACCAAGCACCACCUCCUUCCUACCCUGUAUAAGCCAUGAACAACCAAAGGCCCGUCACUACAUUCCCACAAAACAUUCUACCCACUCAAAACCAACCCAGAAAUGAACCAAGACCAACAAGACCCAAUCCCAAGAGUCCGCAAUUCACCCCUAUUCCUGUGUCGUAUGGGGAACUGUACCCAAAACUCUUGGAGAAGCAAUUAAUAUCUUCCCAUUACAUGGCACCCCUAAAACCUCCAUACCCGAAAUGGUACGAUCCAAAUGCUGGUUGUGCAUACCAUGCCGGGAACUAGGGGCACUCUACGAAAAACUACUUGGCCUUCAAAAAGAGAGUUCAAUGACUCAUCGAUGCGGGUAUUCUGCGAUUUGAUGGCACUAGCGGUACAUCCGGGAACCCAUUCCCAAACCACGCCGAAGGGAAUGUGAGCGUAGUGGGAGAGGAGGACAAACGACAAAGUAGAAUAUGGGUUUUUGAAAUAAGAACACCUCUGCAGAAAAUCUGGGAGGUGCUAGUUGAAAAGGGGUUGCUCUGUCAUCUUAACAGAGUAUUCAAGGGAAGAAAUACAAAAGAUCAAAGUUUUUGCGAAUUCCAUGGUAUUGAGGGGCACGACAUUCAAUCCUGCGAAGAGUUCAGGAGAUUACUGCAAAAUAUGAUGGACAAUAAGGAGAUUGGGAUUUUUUAUAAAGGCGAAGAGGCCGAUAGAGGAGAAAUAUGCGCCUCUGACCAUCAAUCGUCAGGUUUCCCGUAUAGCACCGACCGACCAUUAAUAAUUUAUUAUGACGCAAAGAAAGAGCCAGUGAAACCAAAAGUGAUAAUCGAGGUACCAUCUCCUUUCCCCUACAAGGACAAUAAAGCAGUACCAUGGAAAUAUGACGUCAAUAUCGUCACACCUGAAGAUGAAAAACCCAAAGCCAUGACUGGAAGUGUUGGGGAAGUAGGUCAUUUCACUCGUAGUGGAAGAUGUUAUUCCAAAGAGAUUGAGCCAGUGAAGAAGAAUAGUGACUUGAAACAGAAAGGAAAAGCACUGAUGCACGUGACCGAAGAUGAGCAUGAAACUGUGCCUGAACAAGAAGCUAAAAAGCCUGUGGACGAGGAGGAAGCACAGGAAUUCUUAAAAUUUAUCAAGCACAAUGAGUACAACGUGGUAGAACAAUUGCGUAAACAGCCAGCGCGAAUCUCGGUAUUAUCUCUACUGUUGAAUUUGAAACCUCACUGCAACGCCUUGUUAAAGGUGUUGAAUCAAGCUUACGUGGCAAACAAUAUAUCCGUUGAAAAACUGGAUAGGUGGGUGAACAACUUGAAUACGGAUAAUUUCAUUUCUUUUAGUGAUGAUGAAAUACUGCCCAAUGGUAGAGGCUCAGUGAAAGCAUUGCAUAUCACAACCCGUUGUAAGGGCUAUAUAAUAUCGAACGUGCUCAUCGACAAUGGAUCGGCACUCAAUGUCAUGCCUUUGGCCACACUUUCUAGGAUUCCGAUGGAUUUGUCCUAUCUAAGGCCCUGCCAUUCUACAGUAAGGGCAUUUAAUGGAAUAAGACGAGAAGUCAUGGGAAAAAACGAGAUCCCUCUAGAAGUGGGUCCCUAUAUAUAUGAUGUUGAGUUUCAAGUCAUGGACAUUACACCAUUACAAUUGUCUCUUGGGAAGACCUUGGAUCCAUUCUGCUGGAGCAGUCCCAUCAUCCCUUCAUCAAAAGGUGAAAUUCAUCAUGGAUGGCUGUUUGGUCACCGUCGAGGGAGAAGAAGAUAUUGUAGCAUCUAUUUUUACCGACGCACCAUACAUUGAAGUGAGUAAAGAUGCUUUAGAAUGUUCCUUCCGAUCCCUUAAAUUUGUCAAUGCCACAUUCGUCGCUGAGGGAAACAGAAUUCCCGCGCCAAAAUUGUCAAGAAAUACCAGGAUGGGUGUCAAACUGACUGUAGGAAGGGGAGCUUGAGUGAGAAAAGGUUUAGGGAGAUAUUUGUAAGGAAUAGUCAGGGCUCUAAAGCCAGUGCACCACAAGGCCCGAUACGGUUUGGGGUUCUAGCCGGAAAUGCGUCAAAGACAAAAAUAGUGGAAGAAGGAUCAGGAGAGAAGAAUUGCGAGAACUUUGGGCCGAGAAAUAGAAUGGGAGCCCAUAACAUACCCUCCUUUGUUAAAAACAUUUACAUUUGCGGGAAUGAUAUACCCCGGACAGGUUAAUAUACAAAGCACGCUGUUAUUAAUUGAAAGGGGUCUUCAGAAUGUUAGUAUAAAUGUCAUUGACAAAGGAAGUGAGGCUAUUAAAGAUGUUUCAACGAUACGCCCUUAUCCUCCUGGUUUCAUGUUGAACAAUUGGACUACUGAGGACCUUCUUGUAGUUUAUAAGUCUUCAGAGUAAUGCUCAAACAUUAACCCUAUAUUGUGUCCUUAGAUAUAAUAGAAUUCUUUUGUAAGAGCUUGCAUUCACUCUUUAUCAUUUAAAUGAAUAUCAAUGAAGAUGCAUUUUGUCACGAUCUUUCGCAUUAUCACUAAUUUCAUAAUCAUCUCCUCAUUUCAUAGCCUAUCUAUACAUUUGCCUCAUACCAUGCCAUAACAUUUCGUUUGUUGGUCCAAUACUUGGAUGCCCCUCUAUAGUUUCCUUUUCCAUUCAACUUUCAGGUGCUCGGAUAUCAACAGCAUGAACAAACCCGUUACGAGUCCUAAAAUCGAUUUUGAGAAGACUGUUUGUUUAGGAGAAUUUGAAGUCGAAGAAAAUGCUGAAGACUAUGUCUCGUCUCCUGACUUGCUAAGAAUGGUGGAACAAGAGGAUAAACAAAUUUUACCUCAUCAAGAAUCUGUUGAAACAAUAAAUUUGGGAACUGAAGAAAAGAAACAAGAAGUGAAAAUUGAGACUUCUAUUUCAGAGGACACCAAGCAUAAUUUGAUUGCUUUGCUCCGCGAGUACAAAGAUGUAUUCGCCUGGUCAUAUCAAGACAUGCCAGGAUUGGAGAAGAUGUAGUGGUCCAUAAGCUCCCAUUAAAGCCAGAAUGCAAACCCGUUCAACAAAAGUUAAGACGGAUGAGACCCAAAAUGUUGUUGAAAAUAAAAGAGGAAGUCAAGAAGCAAUUUGAUGAUGGCUUCCUACAAGCAUCCAAAUAUCCAGAAUGGGUGGCUAAUAUAGUCCCGGUACCAAAGAAAGACGGCAAAGUACGAAUGUGCGUGGAUUAUCGUGACCUAAAUCGAGCAAGUCCCAAAGAUAAUUUUCCCUUACCACACAUUGAUACGUUGGUGGAUAACACAGCAAAGCACUCUUUGUUUUCUUUCAUGGAUGGAUUCUCGGGGUAUAAUCAGAUCAAGAUGGCCCCUGAAGAUAUGGAGAAAACUACUUUUGUAACAAUGUGGGGAACAUUCUGCUACAAGGUGAUGCCAUUUGGGUUAAAGAAUACUGGGGUAACAUAUCAGAGGGCUAUGGUAACAUUAUUCCAUGACAUGAUGCAUAAAGAAAUAGAGGUCUACGUCGAUGAUAUGAUUGCUAAGUCCCGAGGGGAAGAAGAGCAUGUAGCGAACCUAAAGAAGUUGUUCGACAUUCUGAGAAAGUUCCAGCUAAAGCUCAAUCCGGCCAAAUGUAUGUUUGGGGGUACCUUAGGAAAAUUGCUUGGCUUCAUUGUCAGUGAGAGAGGCAUUGAAAUUGAUCCAGAUAAAAUAAAAGCCAUUCAAGAGUUACCACCCCCGCGCACGCAAAAGGAAGUCAGAGGAUUUUUAAGGAGAUUAAACUACAUCGCCCGAUUUAUCGCUCAACUUACCAACCAAUGCGACCCAAUCUUUCGACUCCUUCGAAAACAUAAUCCUGGAGAAUGGAACGAGGAGUGUCAAGUGGCUUUUGACAAGAUAAAACAGUAUUUGUCUAAUCCUCCAGUGCUAGUACCACCAAUGCUGGGAAGACCAUUGAUAUUGUAUUUGACUGUGUUCGAGAAUUCAAUGGGUUGCGUACUGGGGCAACAUGACGAGUCAGGAAAGAAAGAAAAGGCGAUCUACUACCUCAGCAAAAAGUUUACUGAAUAUGAGGCAAAGUAUUCAUCCGUAGAAAAAUACUGCUGUGCUCUGGUUUGGGUAGCUCGGAGACUCAGGCAAUAUAUGCUGUAUCAUACGACAUGGCUAAUUUCAAAGUUGGACCCAAUAAAGUACAUGAUGGAAUCACCCGCACUCUUAGGAAGAAUGGCACGAUGACAGAUCUUACUAUCAGAAUAUGACAUCGUCUAUGUGAGCCAAAAGUCGAUAAAAGGGAGUGCAAUAGCUGACUUCUUAGCAACUCGAACAACGGAGGAAUACGAGCCAUUGAAAUUUGAUUUCCCAGAUGAAGACUUAAUGUGCAUUAUAGAAAAAGAAUGUGAGUCAUCAAAAGAAAAGUCAUGGAAGAUGAGCUUUGAUGGUGCAUCAAAUGCAUUGGGGCAUGGGAUUGGAGCAGUCUUAGUAUCACCAGAAGGGAACCAUUAUCCGUUCACUGCCAGGCUGAAUUUCUUCUGUACCAAUAACAUAGCGAAAUAUGAAGCCUGUAUCAUGGGACUUCGUGCAGCAAUUGAACGAAACAUCCAAACUUUAGAGGUAUACGGAGACUUAGCAUUGGUGAUUUAUCAGAUCCGUGGAGAUUGGGAAGUGGGGGAUUUAAAAUUAGUCAAAUACAGUGAUCUCGUGGCAGGGUUGAUUAAAGAAUUCAAAGAAAUAACUUUUAAUUACUUCCCACGAGAAGAAAACCAGUUAGCUGAUACCCUGGCCACUUUGGCUUCAAUGUUUAAAGUAAACAGAGAAACAGAAAUAAUGCCUCUUCAAAUGAGCAUAUAUGAAGUCCCUGCACAUUGUUUCAGCAUUGAGAAAGAGCCAGAUGGGCAACCAUGGUUCCAUGAUAUCUUAGAAUACAUCAAGAAUCAAAGGUAUCCCGAACAAGCAAAUGUGAACGACAGAAGAACAAUCAGAAGAAUGGCAGCGAGAUUUAUUCUUGAUGGAGACAUCCUAUACAAAAGAGGAAAAGAUCAGGUGCUCUUGAGAUGCGUGGAUGCUGUAGAAGCCAGAAAAAUACUUGAAGAUGUCCAUGAAGGAAUUUGUGAGACACACGCUAAUGGUUUCACUAUGGCCAGGAAAAUUAUGAGACUCGGUUAUUACUGACUGACGAUGGAAAGUGACUGCAUUAGUUUCACACGGAAAUGCCACAAAUGUCAAAUUUAUGGUGAUAAAAUUCAUGUAGCUCCUUCGCCCCUUCAUGUCAUGGCUUCUCCGUGGCCUUUUCUUAUGUGGGGCAUGGAUGUUAUAGGGCCAAUCUCUCUAAAAGCUUCUAAUGGACACCGGUUCAUUUUUGUGGUCAUUGAUUACUUUACAAAAUGGAUAGAAGCUGCUUCAUUUGCCAAUGUGACGAAGGCUACAGUUUGUAGGCUUUUGAAAAAGGAAAUCAUUUGUCGAUAUGGUUUGCCUGAAAGAAUCAUUUCAGAUAACGCCAUGAAUCUGAACAAUAAGAUGAUGAAUGAGGUGUGUGAACAAUUCCAAAUAAAGUAUCAUAACUCAUCACCCUAUCGCCCGAAAAUGAACGGAGCUGUUGAAGCGGCCAACAAGAAUAUUAAGAUGAUUAUUGGGAAAAUGAUCGAGACAUAUAAAGACUGGCACGAGAAGCUACCAUUUGCUUUGUAUGCAUAUUGUACAUAUGUGCGAACAUCUAUGGGAGCAACUCCUUUCUCUCUGGUCUAUGGCAUGGAAGCUGUGCAACCCAUCGAAGUUGAGAUCUCCUCUCUACGAGUCUUAAUGGAAUCAAAACUAGAAGAAAAAGAAUGGGUUCGAGCUCGAUAUGACCAGUUAAACCUUAUUGAAGAAAAACGUAUGAAGGCAAUCUGCGAUGGACAGAUGUACUAGAAGAGAAUGAUCGCAGCCCAUGAUAAGAAAGUACGGCCAAGAGAAUUCCACGAAGAAGGACUCGUGCUGAGAAAGAUUCUCCCAAUACAAAAAGACUUCCGAGGAAAGUGGGCACCAAAUUGGGAAGGACCAUACGUCGUAAAGAAGGCAUUCUCAGGUGGAGCUUUGAUUCUCACCGAGAUGGAUGGGAAGGAGUUACCGAAUCCAGUGAAUUCAGAUGCUGUGAAGAAAUAUUAUGCUUGAAAAAAGAAAAUCAAGAUGAAAACCCAAAAGGGCAUCUUAAAAAAAAUAGGAUCAAGGUGAAAAUCUGAAAAAGGGCGUCUUGAUUAACACAAAAGAUUAGGAUGAAAACCCGAAAAGGGCAUCCUAACGAAACAAACACUGGACUUAAAGAGCAAGGCAUUUUGAACAGUGGGUCAAACAGCGAGACUACAGUAUUUGAAGCAUUUUUGAAAGCUCGAAAUCUUCUACGCAAGAAGCCAUGCUCUAAAAGAUUCUAGAUGAAGGAACGUAGAAGAGUUCAUAUGUUGAAUAUCUAGAGCAUUUGUAUCCGUUGAAUGCGAUCCAUUUUCUCUUGAUGACACUUUUUACUAUCAUUGAUUAACUUUCUUUGUUUGCUACAUUUGAAAUAAAUAAAUGUGAGGUAGCCUUUUUGUCCCUACCUAACCAUUUUCAUGCAUCUUAUUAUGUGUUUAUUUACAUGAUAAAUAAUGAAAUGACAUACUCUAAACAAAAGAAAUGUUAAGCAUUACUUGAAUGAAAAUUUGACAAAUACAAGAGCCUCAAAGUAAGGACAAAGUUCAACCAGGAACAAAAGAGUGAUAUCUGAGAAACGUCGAUUACUCGCGAAGCUUGAAGACGGGUACAAAGCUUGAAGAGAAAGUCAAGAGUCAAAGUAAUGAACGUAGAUCAUCAAAAAUCGUGACGAAAAAGGGGCAUACGAUAAACAUGCCUAAGGCGCAUAGCAUAAUCAUGUAGGCAUAAAGGCAUUUAAGAUAAACAUGUGCAUAUCAUGAUGACAUCAUGCAUGACAUAUACAGGUAUUCCAGUAGAGCAAGAGGGUGUGGUGAUAGUUGUACUGAAUCAAAGGAAAAGACAUUUGAUUUCUACCAAUGACAGGUUUUGGUAUUUUGAUGUUUUAAUUCAUGUUUUCAAAAAUCAACUCAUAUUGCGAGAGGAGAGUUCAGCCUUUUAAUUUCUGUUUUUAAUUUAUACUUUUCAAAAAUCAACUCAUAUUGCGAGAGGUGAGUUGAACCUCGGGGCACGCUGAGGUAAUUUUAAUUUCUGUUUUUCAAAAAAAUCAACUCACAUUGCGAGAUAUGAGUUGAACCUCGGUUCACAUGUUCUGUUCUUUCAAUUUAUGUUUCAAAAGAAUCAGCUCAUAUUGCGAGAGGUGAGUUGAGCCUCAAGACACGCUGAGGUAAUUUCAAUUUCUGUUUCUGCUUUUCAAAAAUCAACUCAUAUUGCGAGAGGUGAGUUGAGCCUCAGGACACGCUGAGGUAUUUUCAAUUUCUAUUCUUCCAAUUUCUGUUUUAAUUCAUGUUUCCAAAAUCAACUCAUAUUGCGAGAGGUGAGUUGAGCCUCGGGGCACGCUGAGGUAAUUUCAAUUUCUAUUUUCCAUUUCUGUUUUUCAAAAAUCAACUCAUAUUGCGAGAAGUGAGUUGAGCCUUUUAAUUUCUGUUUUUCAAAAAGUCAACUCAUAUUGCGAGAGGUGAGUUGAGCCUUUUAAUUUUUGUUUUUCAAAAAGUCAACACAUAUUGCAAGAGGUGAGUUGAGCCUUUUAAUUUUUGUUUUUCAAAAAGUCAACACAUAUUGCAAGAGGUGAGUUAAGCCUUUUAAUUUCUGUUUUUCAAAAAGUCAACUCAUAUUGCGAGAGGUGAGUUGAGCCUUUUAAUAUCUAUUUUUAAAGAGUCAAUUCAUAUUGCGAGAAAUGAGUUGAGCUCAAGAUCACAUGCCGAGCAAGAAUAAAGAUUGAAGCUGAUGAAAGACACCAUUUGGCCUCCUUGAAGUUGCAGUAAAGUAGGUCAAAGUUACAAGUCUCGUCCCCCUGAAGUUGCAGUAGAGCUGAUCGAAGAUAUCAAAGCUUGCCUUUUUAGAGUUACAGAAGAGAAGAUCACAAACCCUAUCUCACUGAAGCGAUAGAAGAGCAGAUUGAAGCUGUAGACCUCAUCUUUCUGAAGCUGCAUGGAAGCAGAUCAAAGCUACAAAUCUCAUAUCUUUGAAGUUACAUUGAAGUAGAUUGAAGCUACAAAGCAUAUAUCAGAAGAUGCAAUGGACCAAAGCUACAAGAUACGAUGGACUGGAAGAAGACUAUUUGAACAAGAAGAACACCAAUGAAGUCAAGACUCAGCAAGACUAGGCAAAAUUGACCUUUCAUUAUGUCUUUGCUCCAUUCCCGUUGCACGACAAUGAGCAAAGAGGGGCAGCUGUACAGGCCAAUUUUGGACCCAAUACAACAAAACAUUAACCCAACCUCAACUCAUUUACAUCAGACCCAAUAACCCCCAAACCUUAACCCAAAUCAAACCCAUUCCCAAUACAUUACCCAAAUCAUUAAGCCCAUUAUCCAAACCCUACCCAAUCAGCUACCCGGAGCCCAAUGUUACCCACAAGCCCGUUUGCAAUAUUCAGCCCCAACCCACCUAAACCCAAAUCUACCUAUAACCUAAACACUCAACCCCAAGCCCAGAAGCCCAAUUUUAGACAUUAAGGUUUCAGUUUCUGAAACCCUAAACCUGCCUAGCGCCGCACCACCCCCACCAACCCUCUGACGGCCCCAUGCCCUCUGACGUUGCCUCAACAACCGCUCCACCGUCCUCCAUAUUGCACCAUCCCCUGCAAGCAUUAAAAGAGAAUAGACAGCAAGCAAGAAGAGAGCAGUAUAUAAUCAAAACAUACAAUGUAAAAAGGGGGUUCCUUUUUUCGUCAGUUUUGAAAACAAAAAGAAAUAAGAACAAACCAUUUUAAAUAUUAAGCAACAAUAGCAUUUCCCUCAGUACUUAGACACAAAAAAAUAGCAACCAAGCAAAAAGAACAUCUCAGAUCAAAGAAACAGAAACUAAAACCGAAAGGUGAUUAUUUUUUUCCUAUUUCUAUUUCAUUUUUUUAACCUGUUUUAAUCUACCAUACAUAUUAAAAUAUAAUAAGAUAAUAAAAAAAUAACAAAAAAUGAACCUUUUUGAACUUUCGACCACCGUGUACGGUGGCCGGAGCCGGUGCCGGCGUCGACGAGCCUCCAAUGACCGUCCGGUGACCGGUUUCCCCACCGAAAAUCACCCCGUGCUCCCCUCUCCCUCAUUUUUUUUUCUUUUCCCUGUCCAAAUGUUUUUUUUUUCAGAUUUUUAGGCUAUUUAUAGCCUACCAAAACGGCACCGUUUUGGUACCAAAAUGGCACCGUUUUGGUGCCCAAACUUAGACUAAAAAAUGACGUCGUUUUACUUGGCCCGACCCGAUUCGACCCGAACCCGCUUCAGGAUCCGCGUGUUUUUAACUCAAUGGGAUAUUUGUGCAAUCGGUCCUUCCGCAUUUUUGUGUUUUAAAUCAAGUUUAUAUUUAUUUAUAAAUCGGCCCUAAAAUUUAAUCUGAUUUGCGAUCUAGUCCCUCCGUGCUGCACAGCGUUUUGGUGAAAGGGAAUAUUUGCUGUUUUAACCCUCCUAAGUUAUGCGCGCGUGGCAUUUUGGUCCUUCCCUGCUAUUUUAUUUCUAAUUUCGCCCCAAAAUGUUGUUUUAAGUUCAAUUUAGUCCUUUGGUUAAUUUACUGCUUUAUUUUUAAUUUACUUGUUUUCAUUUUCUGUAUUUUAUUUGUUAUAAUAUUUAUAUUUGUUAUAUUAAAUGUAUUUAUUAUAUGUCUUUUAAAUAUUAUGUUAUAUAUAUGUAUUUUCAAUAUUGUUGUUAUAUUUAUUAUUAUUAUAUAUAUUUGUUCUAGUAUAUAUGUAUAUAUUUACACGUAUAGGUUUAUUUUUAUUUCAAUAUCUUUAUUAUAUUUGUUUUUGGUAUUUUAAUAAUAUUGUUAUAUUAUUAUAAUAGUGUAUACUUUUAUUUAUGUACAUAGAUUUAUAUAUAUGAUGUAUUUUUGUUAUAUUAUAUUGUAUUUUAAUAUCGUUACUAUUAUAAUUGCUAACAUAGUGAAUGCCUUGUUAUAUAUGUAUAUGUUUUUAUGUCAUCAUUGUUGAUUAUCAUUAACUUUAAUAUGUGUCUCAUUAUAUGUCCUUAAAUAUACAUAUAGAUAUAUAUACAUGCAAUAUUAUAAUAGUUUUCUUUGACAUCAUUAUCUCCAAUAUAUGUAUAUGUUAUGUAAAUAUUUUAAUGUCAUAUUAUAUAUACAUUUUUACACUAUGCAUACAUACUUUUAACAUUAUAUUUUAUAUGUAUACUCUUAACAUCAUAUUAUAUAUAUCUUGCACAAAAUUUUUAAUACUUUACUAUAUAUAUACCUUUAUAUAUUAUAUGUAUAUUUUAGUAUUGUGUUUUUAUAUCUAUGUUUUAAUACCAUACUAUAUAUAUUAUUAUAUUUUAUUACAUAAUUAGUACCCAUGUUUUAUUAUACAUAUAUAUACUCUUUUAUUUGUGUUAUUUUCGUAUGUCAUAUUAUUCAUUUUUAUACUCAUUAUUUUCAUUAUUGCCACUUAUAUAUUAUUAUUUGGUGUACAUACAUCUUUUAUUAUUAUUAGUAUAUAAAUGUAUUUUCCUUGUCUAUAUUGUUCCUAAUAUAUAUUGCACAUGUUCAUUCAUACUAUGUGUACAUGUAUCUAGUAUAUAUAUAUUUAGUAUUAUUACACAUAUCUUUUAGGCAUUAUACUUUCAUGCGUCAUGUAUAUAUGUCAUGUAUUAUAUUUUUGCAUAUUAUCUUAUGUACAUAUUAUCUUAUAUUAUUAUUACUAAGUGUAUUUUAUAUUUGUUCAUGACUUGUUUAUUAUUACUAUUAUUUCUUUUGUAAAUAUCAUUGUUAUUGUUUUUCUAAUGCUCUAGUGUUCAUAUUAAUAUUUUUCAUUAAUAAUGUCAUUAUUUGCAUCGUUGAUUUACUUAAAAUUCUCACUUUAUAAAUAUCUUUCCCAUGUUUUAAUCAAUUUCAAUAAUCAAGGCAAUGUAUCGAUUUAACAUUAAGUCGUAAGUUUCAUCGCUAUGUUGGAUGAAAUUUAUCAGCUCGUGUUAAAAUGGUAUACCCUUCUCAAAAACUGAAAAAACUAAAACUAAAACUUCUCGUCUUUGCAAUCGAAUCACGACUAAAUGUUGCAUUGAAUUCGUAUUUUUGAAAAUCAAGACAACACAUGUUUAUACGAUACCAAUUUUGGGCGUCGUGAGGGUGCUAAUACCUUCCUCGCGCGUAACUGACUCCCGAACCCUAAUUUUUCACUGGAUUUUAACGUAGACGUAAACUCGGCCUUCUUUUGUUUAAAAAAUAGAUCUAAUAGGUGUCCGAUCACACCUAUAAAAAAGGGAUCGGUGGCGACUCCUUGUUUAUUCUAAAAUAAAAUUUCAGUUUCCAAGUUUUCAAUAGAUCGCCACAAUUAGCGACCCCAAACUAAAAAUUUUUACGUCGCUACAAUGUGUUUCAUGUUUCAAUGUUAAGGCGCUACCACUCUGAUCCCAUGCACAUCGUCCCCGUUAAGGAGAUUGAGGUUAGGCCAGAUCUGACCUUUAAGGAGGAACUGGUUUAGAUUUUGGAUCGCGACGUUAAGAUUUUGAGAAGGAAAUUUAUUCCACUGGUUAAGGUUCUUUGUCGUAAUUAUAACAUUGAGGAGGCUACAUGGGAGCCUGAGGAUACUAUGCGUCAGUGAUAUCCUCAUCUAUUCUAAUCAGGUAAAUUUCGAGGCCGAAAUUUUCUUUUAAGGGGUAGAGUUGUAAUGCCUAGAAAAUCUCAUAUUUAUGUCCUGUUAAAAUAUGACACAACUGUGCAUCUGCUUCAGUGGUUAAGUGUUCUAGCUGUGUAUGUGAGGUCCCUAGUUCAAGUCAUGGUUUGGGCAAAAAUUUGUUUUUCUUCUAAAUCAAGCCCUAUCUCUGGUCGUAGGUAAUUCCAUAAUAAAAUGGGCCUACUGGUCUGCAAGCUAGGGUGUGUGUUGGCAGGUAGGAGGUUUGGAGUUCAAGUCCUUGUGUGAACAAGGAUAUUAUUUUUUGUGUGAUCAAUUUUCCUAUUUCCCCAAAAUUUUCUUUUCUUUCUGACCUCAGAAUCCUUUCCUUACUUUCUCUCUACCGAAUUUUGCUUUUUGCUCCACCUCUUUGUUUAGUUUUUCUUUUGGUUUUCAGUCUGAUCAGUGAUUGAAGGCGUGUUUUGUAAGUAUAUUUUUGUCCCUAUUUUAUCGUUGCGUGGCUAGUUGUUUUAAAAGGAUUUUGGUUUGCUGUUGGUAAAUAUUUAGAGUACGUUUUUGAUCUUCUAACGGUUCAAUUAUUAAAUAUUUUGGUUUAGUGUUUGCUUGUAUUACUAAAGUUGGACCUUGGUAAUGUCAAUCAUAGGGUCUAGAAUACGAGAUUGUGUUUUGAGAGCGAAAACGAACCAGGUGUGUACUCGAAACUGUAAAAAAAUGAGGUUUUGACGAAAGCCAAAAACCAUUCUAUCGACGCCACAUGGGAGUGUGGUCACCCGUGUGGUAGGCCGUGUGAUAGAACAAGGGCGUGUGAUCGAGGAGCCAGGCUGCGCACAUUAGACACUGCCGUAUGAUGGCUAGGUGGGCCGUGUACGACACAAGAGCUUAACCAACUUGGGCCGUGUGAGCUACACGAGCGUGUGGGAAUUUGAGCCAGGCCGUGUGAUCACAUGGCCAAGGCCAAUCUCUGCCGUGUGGGCUACACGGGCAUGUGGGCCCAUACGGGCAAGCCAAAUGGGCGUGUAAGCCCAUUUUACUGAAAUGUUUCCUAAAGUUGCAUGGGUCGCCCAAGUCGAUUAUGAACCUGUUGUAGGGUCGGUAAGAACUACUUAGACCCCUAGCUGACUGAAAUGACUGUUUGGCUGACGUAUAUAUAUUUACAUGUUAUCGAGGAUGAUGAUAUUUAAUGAAUUGAUAUUGUAUGCACUGUUGCCAUGAUAUAGUAUAUUAUUAUUGUAUGUUGCAUUGCAUUGGGAUAGGGGUUGGUAUUGUUUGGAGGAAGUGUACUGAAAUGCCUCGGGCCUAAUUUACUGGCAGCUCAGCGCAAAUCACUGUUUAGUGCCGCAUUCAGUACUUUUGGGAGUGUAGUGAUGGGUGGGUUGAUUAUAUCCCCACAUGGAGUGUAGGGUUAGACGGAGAUGGUGUGUAGAGGCUGGCUGGGUAGGAUUUUGUGACUGCAUAUCUAUUAAUGCUACUGAUAUGUUGAUGGGCUAAGGCCCAAUUGCAUGACUAAUACUGUUACUGAAAAUGGCUUAGGCCCAUGCUGCAAUCUUGUGCAUAUUGUCUGUUUGUUUAUAUGGGGAUUACACACUGAAUUUACGUAAACUCACCUCUUUGGUUUAACCUAUCCAGGUAAUCCCCAGACUUGACGGAUCGGUGCAGCGGAGGACUCGAUGGUGGCACACGAUCUCUUGACACUGUUUCGCACUUAUUUAUGAUUUUAGGUUUUAUUUUGGUAUUUUAUUGUAAAUAUGGCCUCUAUGGAUUUUUAUUUUAGUUUGGGAUUUUUGUUGGUUUCGAUUUAUUACUGCUAGUAUUAGGAAAACUCAGGUUUUCAAAAGAAACAACGUUUCAACAAAAUACACACAAAUACGCAAAUUGUUUUAAAAGCUUCCACUUUGAAUAAACGUUUUGAAAACUUUCUACUGAUUAAAUAACACAAUUUUAGAGUUAAUAAGUAAUAAUGAAAAGUUUAUAAACGGAAAUUGUUUUAAGCAAAGUUACGUUUUUUUUAAAUACCCUACCAUGUGACAUCGCCUGAUCCGAUCAUAGUGUCCAAGCCGAGUUUGAGGUGUUACAAAUGUAACAUUUCCAUUAGAAUGAGUCUAAAAUAAGUUGUACUCUUUUCCUUUAACCAAUGUUUUUUCCCAUUGGAUUUUCCUGAUGAAGGUUUUUAAUGAGGCAGCUUGUAAUAGAAGACUGUGUACUCUUUUCCUUCAUUAGGUUUUUAUCCCACAGGGUUUUUCCUAAUAAGGUUUUAACGAGGCACAUUAUCUACCAAUGGGCAUCCAAGGGAGAGUGUUAUGAAUAUCUUAUUAAGUGGAUGUUCAUCAUGAUCAAGGUAAAGUUUUGGUAUACUUUAAAUUCUAAUAGUUAUUAGAAUUAGAUCUCUACUUCUUUUAUACUUCUUAUGCCUAUAAAUAGAGACUCUGAUGAAGACUGUAAUCAUCCCUUUGAUUAAUAAAGUACAUUCUUUAUUGCUUUCAUAUUUUUUUUAUUCUUUAUUCUCUCCAUCUUUCUUUAUUUUAUAACAAAUUUGAUUUUUUUUUAAAUUUAGUUAAUUUAUAUUUGUAAUUAAAUUUUUGUCUACAUAUAGCAACUAUUACUAAUUCAGCUUUAUUAUUGUCCAUUACAGUAAUGUUUUUUCUUCUAUUCACUUUAUUUAAACAUUUUAAUUAAAAUGUUUUUAGAAAAUUAGAAAUUAGACACUUCAAAUGACAUUAUUAGGUACAGUAAAUUUUUUUAUUAAAAUGUUUUUACUUUUUAUUUUACAUUGUUAGAUUUUAUUGUAUUUAUGAUUUAUAAGUUUGAUUUUUUAUAAUUACAUUAGCCACAUUGCCCCUAAUUUUUAUCAAAUACAAAAAGUUCAUUGAAUGAUAAGAAACUAAUUACAACUUCGAAUAUUUUAGGAAUACUUGUACAUUCUCUUUUAGCUCAAAUAAAGGAAUUGAUGUUUCAUUCUUAUCCUUAUGGAUAGGCUAAUAAAUAAAAAGAAAUAAAAAACAAUAUAUCAUUGAAAUUCUCAAUUUUUGAAGAGAUUUUUUUAUUUAUUUUACUUCGGAUGAGCCGAGACAAUAGGAUGAACAACAAGGGUUCUGUAUCGUGAACUUUGUAUCGCGCACAUCACUUAGAUGAACUCUAGAGAGUCGCAUAGAAGAGAAUGAAAAAAUGGAAUAGGAAAGGGGAUCGGAUUCUAUUUGUCCUGUAACUGAGAUGAGUCUUGGUUAUUUCUAUCCUUGAACUCCUCUAAAUCCGACUUUUUGUUGGGCAACAUGACAUAAUUAAAAAUUUAAAGUUUUCUCGCAUAUUAAUUUUUUUUCAUACAAAAAGUUUCAAAAAAAAAAAACAAGAUAACUUCUUAAAAAUAUACUUUAUUUAAGGUUUGUGUAAAAAUAAAAGACAAUUGUAAGCCUUACUAAACAUUUAGGCUAUUUUCAUCACUAAUUCUUCUAUUUAUUAUUUAUAAUAUAAAAACUUCCAAUUUAGACUAAUUAAAUAAGUAUAAUUCAAGGUUUCUGAAUUAUUAGAAUAAUUAGAACAGUGAUUUUUUCCUUCGUAUUAAUAAUUUAAUUUAGUUUAUUAGUUGAUAUUCUGAAGUUACUUUAAUAUAAUUUUAUAACUAUCAAUUCUUAAUAAUUUUCUUUCUUUUAAGAAAAUCUUUAUUUUAAUCUAUCAAAAUCAUGACCUCGUAUCGCUAUUCUAAUUAUUUGACGGAUUCUUGAAUAAAACUGGGUUCAGAUGAAUUUUUGACGGGUUUUUGAAUUUUCUAUCACCAAAUUUAUUGAGUCAAGAAUAAAAUAGAUGAAUAUAUUUAUAAGUUUUUUUAAAAAAAAGUCAAAGAAAUAAUAUUUAGCCAUUAUUUUUGGAUUUUUUUAAUUAAAAAUUGUCACCUGUCACAAAAUAAUUGGCCAAGAGAUUUUUUUUUUAACAACUGGGGUAAUUUGAGUAAUGCUGUACCAUUUUAUUGUUUAAAUCUUAAAAUUGUUAUUCAAAUUAUGAUGGUAAAGAUAAUUAUAUAAUUAUUUUUCUUACAUGAUGUCUAAAAACUAGUUAAAAUUUUGUGAAAGUUAAAAUACAUAAAUUAAUAAACUUUUUUUAAUGUUGAAUGUUUAAUAUAAAUGAAAUUAACAUAGAAAUACUUUUAACUCACAAAUAUCACAAUUCAAAUAUAUACAUUAUUUAAAAGUUAAACUUAACAUAUCAUUAAUAUAAAAACAAAACUCACCUAAACAUAUACGUGGCAGAUCCAACUACGGUGGAGGCAUGAGCUUGUCUUCAAGUUUUAAUUGUGGUAGAAGAGUUACGGUUCUAAAAACUGGUGGCUGAGGGGGAUUCUGAAAAAAGCAUAGUCACUAAAGGAGGAUAGAUCGAGCAUCGCCACUUUGAUUAGAGAAAUAAAGGAGAGAGAAAAGAGAUUUGAAUAGCUCAAUUUCAGAUCUGUACCUAGGUCGAUGAAUCGGGUGGCUCAUACUCUGGCAGAUGAAGGAAGGGCCUUGUCGUCUCUUAGGUAUUGGAUAGAAGAGGCAUCGACAAGGGUGGAGGAGGAAGUUGAUAGGGACCGAAGAGGUUUGUUGUGAAGGGACUGAAGGAAGAAAGUGGAUGGGGUAGAGGAAAUGGAAUCUUGGGGACUCCGACGGUUCAGAUCUACAAGGAUCCCUCGCAUUCUCAGUAAUUCAUCAAUCUGAUGGAAGCAAGACGAGGGAUUUCUAAUGUUACUCUGACUAAUGAACGAGUUCAUGAAGAAGAAGGUUGCGAUUUGGUUAGGAGUGUCGAUUCAGGUUUUAGGAUUUUUCUUUCUGAUUUUUGUUUUACUUUAGCUAUUUCCUUUAUUUUCUUUAAGUAGGGGCAACCACUGUUUGCGUUAACCAGUAGAAGAGUGACAAUUGUAAUACAUACACUCUAAACCUUUUUGUGAAAUGAAAUUCGUUAGUUUUUAUGUAAAAAAAACCCCAAAAAUUAUAUAAACUUCAAAAUAAUAACUAAGUAAUUUAGUAAUUACCAUCUAAUUCUAAUACUAAAUAUUAAUCAUACGAGUAAUAUAAAUUUAAAAAAACAAUAUACAUGCAUGAAAAUUUUGAAUUUAUUCACAUAACUUUAUAAAAUAUAAAUUAUGAAAAAGAACUUUGAAUUAAAUUUAUAUACCAUAAUUUUUGUUAAUAGAUGUGUUAAGAAAACUAAAAAUGUAUUAAUAAAAUCAAAUAUUGUCUUUGAAUUAGUUUGUAAAGAUGGUACACACUUUUAACACAAAAAAAAUGUUUGAAACUUGGUCUAUAGUUGAUUUUGCUGUGGGUUUGAACUCUACAGGCUCGAUUAGCGAGAUUGGAUGGGUUACAAAGAAGGUAAGGAGGCAGACGAAUGUGGCACCGGAUUUUGUUGAUCCGGUGGUGGAUGUGAAUGGGAAAAAGGUGCAGGUUGAAUAUGCUACAAAAUUUUCUUACAAGGCUACUCUUUUAGGAGCCAAUUCAAUACCAACCUUGUCUAAUACUAUGGGGGAUGAUUUUUUCUUACAAGUAGAGGAUGUGGCUAUAGAGAUAGUUGAUGGCAUCCCAUUGAUAACAUUUUCUGAAUGAGUGCAAUAGUUUAUUGAGAAGAAAAUGGCGAGAACUCUUGUAGUCAAAAUGCUUGGAAGAAGUAUAAGUUUUAAUACGCUACUCAAUAAGGUGUCCUCUUUGUGGAACCAUAGAAGCCACAUUCAACUUAUGGACCUAGAGAAUGAUUUUUGCCUUCUACAAUUUUAGGACAAGGAUGAUUUUGAUAAUGUGCUAAUGGAAGGGUCGUAGGUGAUAUUUGGGCAGUACUUGUCGAUCAGGCUAUGGUCGUCAACGUUCUUUGCUUCAAGUGGUAUGGUGGAUAGUUAAAUAGUUUGGAUAAAAAUGCAUGGUUUGUCAGAAUGCUUUCAUUUUGAGUCUCUUUUUCAUUCAAUCGACCAAAUUAUUGGUCCGGUAGUCAAACUUGAUGCAUAUUGUUUCAGCAAGGAGGUGACAAUUUGCUUAUUUAGUAGUUUGUGUGGAUUUUUGAAAGUAGUUGUCUCAAAAAUUAAAAUCAAUAGACAUAUGCAAAAAAUGGAAUAUGAAUCACCUCCAAAUGUGUGCUUUUGAUGUGAAAUUUACGAACAUAACUUGGAGCUUUAUUUGGGUAUCGACAUGCCGGAGAAGGAGGGUGAGGCUAGUAGUCGUAAAUCAGAUGUUGAGGAAUCUGACUUGAAAGAUCGAGUGGAGGAAGAAUCUUAUGGACUGUGGAUGCUGGUGGAACACCGAAUCAGAGGGAAGGGAAGAGGUUCAUCAAAAAAUAGGCAAACCAAUGGUCGUGGUUUCAGAUUCAGAGGUUCAAGAUUUUCUAUUCUUGGGAUGUUAACACCCCUAAACCGUAUCCGUCACUGGAAUAGGGUUACGAGACAUUACCGGAAAAUACACAUCAUUUACAAACAUUUAAGCAUUCUAAUCAACAUUCAUUCAAAUCAUUCACAUUGUCCCUUAUAAGGCUCUACGAGACCUUAAAACAUGCUUAGAAGUGGUUCGGGACUAAACUGAUAACAUUUGCAAACUUUGAGAGACUUAGAAAAUUUUCAAACAUAUAAGGGUUACACGCCCGUGUGAAUAGGUCGUGUGCCUCACACGGUCACCAGACACGCCCGUGUCACAGACCGUGUGAAAACAAGGCAUGCAUACUGACUUGUGCCACACGACCAAUGACACGCCUGUGUGCCAUGGCCGUGGGAAAACUAUGGAGGUUACUGAUUUGGGUCAUACGGCCGACCACACGCCCAUGUGUCAGCCCGUGUGCCAGAUACUACCAGCAGACACGCUUGUGUGUCUAAGCUGUGCCAAAACUGUAAGGUAUACUGCCUUAAUUCAGAAGGGCACCCUAAGGGACACACGGCCGUGUAACAUGACCGUGUGUCGCACACGAAUGAGACACACGCUCGUGUCUCUACCCGUGGGGACAAAAAUAGGCCAUUUGCAAAGCCAAUUUGCCACCAUUUUCCUCAUGCACACCUAGCCAUCAAAAUGGUAUUAUUUCAAUACAUAUAUGGGCAGCCAAAACAUGCUAAAUCACACAUAUAUCAUGCCAUCUAACAUUAACCAUUUCAACUACUCAAUACCAUAAUAAAAAACAUACCGAAUCAAUAUACCAAAAUCAUCCAUCUCAUAUAAAUUUGUAAUAUAUUUUCAUCACCUUUCUAUCAACCAAAUCAUGCUUCUCAUCAUACUAAUUCAUUAUUUAUAAAUUAUACCGAAAUAUACCAUUUCUCAAGCAUUAAUAUAUCAACUAAUAACUAACCAAAUGAGAAACCACUUAGUCAUACCAACAACUAUUACAAACAUGCCAAAACACAUGGUAACUUAUAAACAUUACAUAUAUCACUUGUCCAACAUAUAAUUCAAGCCAACUUAAAUAGCCAUAUUCCAACAUUUACAAGCCAAAUCUCAUGGCUAUAAUCACGACUUAAAAUAUACUAAGAUGACACUAGCCUGUACAUGCCAUAUACCAUAUAUAUAAAGCUCCAAAAGUACCAACAAGUAGUCGAUAGUGUGAUGAUGGUUCCCUAUGAUCCCCAAUGUUUGAGCUAGCUCUGAUAAUCUAUAAAACAUGGAAAGAACAUACAAAGUAAGCUUUAAAAGCUUAGUAAGCCAUAUACAAAUAAAGCUUUUAUAUAAACCUUUGCAUAUCAAUUCAAAUAUGCUAAACAUAGCUAAUCACAUUCAAAAUUUACAAACCUUUCUCAUUGAACAUAUAUUCAAUGUCUUAAUCCAAUUCAUCAAUUACUUUCUCUUCUCAAUGCUCGUAUGAAUUUCGUACGUACCUGAAUAACUUAGCUCAUUCACAUAUUCUUUCUCAACUUGACUUUGCCUAUUGAACCAUUUGAAAUCGUUAAUGUUACUUAGCAUACACAUAUAGCUCGUACAAUGCCAUAUCUUAGAUAUGGUCUUACAUGUUAUCACAUAUCGAUGCCACUGUCCCAGACAGGGUCUUACACGUAAUCUCAAUACAAUGCCAAUGUCCCAAACAUGGUCUUACAUGUAAUCACAUCUCGAUAACCUAAUGACAUGAUAUUCGUAUCCUAUACUAUUUCUAAGGUUAGUGUCGGACUUUCGGAUGCCGUGACUUCAUCGAUUCAUGCUCGUAUUUGCUCAUUCGACGUUCACAACAAUUCAAUGAUAAUAAAACAUAUAUAAUUCAAUUCAAAGACAUUUAUUUGCAUAUGCCUUACCUCGUAGUCGGAGUAAAGGGACUGGAUCGACUAUUAAAUAACUUUCGAUUUACCCCGAUAAACUAUUCAUCAACACAUUCAAUUUAAUCCACAAAUACAUAUGUGGACAUUUUUGCACUUUAGCCCCUAAAGUUACACAUUUUUCAAUUUAGUCCCUAUUUCAUAAAUACACAAAAUUCAAUAUGACCCAUGCUUAGCCAAUUCUCUAUAGGUUCCUAGAAGCCCAUAUUUCACAUUUAUUUCAUAUUUCAACCCUUCAAUUUACACUUUUCACAAUUUAAUCCUUAAUAUGCAUUUUUACUCAAAAUCACUUUACAAAACAUAUUAAUCUAUCGACAAACUUCCAUAAUUCAUCAUCAAAUGUCCAAGAACCUAUUAAUUCAUCAAUUGUAACUUUCAAAAUCAUUAAACACUUUCAAAAAUUAGGGCAUGGGCUAGCUAGCACUCAAAGCAACGAUCACAAAAACGUAGAUUUCAUUAAAAAUCGAGCAAAAUACAUACCUCAAUUAAGCCACACAAGUGCCGAAUGUUUUAAGCAUCAAAACCCUAUUUUAUUUUCUCAAUUUUGGUUGUGAAAGAUGAAUGAACACAAAUUUUUGGUUUUAUUUUAUUAUAAUUAGAACUUAAUAAUCAAUGUACUAAUAUAACCUUAUUAUAAACCAUUUAAAAACAUCAUAUUAAUGCCCAUUUAUGACAAAUUCCACUAUCAAAGGUCUAAUUACAUCAUAAGGACCUCACAUUUAGUAAGCCAUAGCAAUUAGACACCUUUAUCAUAUGGAAUGCAACUUUUGCAUUUUACGCGAUUUAGUCAUUUUUCUCAAAUUGAGCUAUUAAAUGAUAAAAUUAACUCACAAAAUUUUCACACAUGUAUAAUCACAUACUAUAAACACCAAAAAUAAUAUUAAAAUAAUUUUAUGACCUCAAAUUUAUGGUUCCAAAACCACUAUUCUGAUUUAGCUAAAAUCGGGUCAUUACAACUCUCCCCCCUUAGGUAUUUUCGUCCCUAAAAAUCUUACCAGCGAAUAGGUUUGGAUAUUGCUUUCUCAUAGCAUUCUCAGGUUCCCACGUAGCUUCUUCAACCCCAUUUCAAUGCUAUAAUACUUUUACUAAAGCUAUUCUUUUAUUUCUCAUCUCUUUGAUUUCACGAGCUAGAAUUCGGAUCGGUUCUUCAAUAUACGAUAAAUCUGACUGAAUCUCAACUUCAGUUGGGAAAACGACAUGUGAAGGAUCAAUUUUGUACCUUUGUAGCAUCGAUACAAGAAAUACAUUACGAAUCUUUUCUAACUCAGACAAAAUUGAUAGUCGAUAAGCCACUAGUCCAACUCACUCGUUAAUUUCAUACGGCCCGAUGAAUCGCGGACUCAAUUUUCGUUUAUGACAAAAUCAAAGUAUUUUCUUCCACAGAGAUAGUUUCAGAAAUAAUUUAUCCCCAAUCUGAAUCUUUCCGUUUCAAGUCUGCGUAUGAUUUCUGUCGAUCUGACGCUUCUUUCAAACUAUCGCGUAUUACUUUCACUUUUUCUUCUGAUUCUCUAAUUAGAUCAACCCCGUGAAUCUUAUCCUCACUUAGUUCAGUCCAGUACAAAGGUGUUCGACAUUUUCAACCAUAUAAAGCUUCGUACGGUGCCAUUUUAAUACUUGAUUGAAAACUAUUAUUAUAAGCAAAUUCAAUCAACGAUAAAUACUUUUCCCACGUACCUUUGAACUCAAGAAUGCAACAUCUCAACAUAUCCUCGAGUAUCUGUAUAACUCGCUCGGAUUGACCAUCUGUCUAUAGAUGAAAUGCAGUACUAAAAUGUAGUUUUGUACCCAGUGCAUCUUGUAGUUUCUUCUAAAACCUCGAUGUGAAUCUCGGAUCUCUAUCCGAAACAAUAGAAACAGGUACUUCGUGUACUCGAACAACCUCAGAGAUAUAGAACUCAGCUAACUUUUCAAGCGAAUAGUCCGCUUGUACUGGAAUGAAAUGAGCCGAUUUUGUCAAUCUGUCAACUAUAACCCAGAUCGUAUCUUUUUUUCUCAGAGAUAGGGGCAAGCCCGAAACAAAAUCUAUAGUUACUCUAUCCCAUUUCCAUUCAAGAAUCAUAAUCUGCUGCAAUAAACCAGACAGUACCUAAUGUUCAGCUUUAACUUGCUGACAAAUCAAACAUAUCGAAACAAAUUCAGAAAUAUCACAUUUCAUGCCAUGCCACCAAUAAAGUUGUUUCAAGUCAUUAUGCUUUUUUGUACUUCUCGGAUGAACAAAUAAGCAACUGCUAUGUGCUUCGUUCAAAAUCAUCUGAAUCAACUCUGAAUUUCUCGGAACACAUAUUCGGUCUAUGAAUCUUAAACAAUCCUUGGAAUCAACUUGAAAUUCUGAAUCAGGGUUUCAAUCACAUCGAGCUCGUUUUGCUAACAUUUCAUUAUCAACUUUCUGUGCUUCAUAAAUUUGUUGUACAAACAACAUUCUCGCUUUCAACUCAGCUAUAAUCAAGCCGUCAUCAGAAAUAGUCAACUGAGUAUUCAUAGCACGUAGAGAAAAUAAAUAUUUUCGACUUAAUGCAUCAGCAACAACAUUAACUUUUCCCGGGUGGUAGUCAAUCACUAGCUCGUAAUCUUUUAGUAAUUCUAGCCAUCUCUGCUGUCACAAAUUCAAAUAUUUCUGAGUCAUCAAAUAUUUCAAACUCUUGUAAUCUAAAUAAACAUGGCAUUUCUCACCGAAUAGAUAAUGGCGUCAAAUCUUCAACGCAAACACAAUGGCUGCUAACUCUAAAUCGUGCGUCAGGUAAUUCUUUUUAUGUGGCUUCAACUGUUUCGAGGCAUAAGCUAUGACUUUACCUUCUUGCAUCAAAACGCAACCCAGACCAUUCAGCAAUGCAUCACUAUAGAUUACAAAUUCUUUACACGAUUCUUCCUGUACUAACACUGGAGCUUUAGUCAAAAGAGUUUUCAACUGAUCAAAACUUUUCUGACAUUUCUCGGGCCAUUCAAACUUUAUAUUUUUCUGAAGCAAUCUCAUCAAUAGAGUUGCAAUCAUCAAAAAGCCUUUUACAAACUGUCAGUAAUAGCUGGCUAGUCCCAGAAAACUACAAACUUUAGAUACAUUUCUUGGAGGCUUCCAAUCCAUUAUUGCAAAAAUCUUGCUCGGAUCGACUCGAAUGCCCGAUGCUGACACCAUAUGCCCCAAAAAACCAACCUCACGCAACCAGAAUUCACAUUUAUUGAACUUUUCAUAUAACUACUUAUCACGCAGAGUCUGCAAUACAAUUCUUAAAUGCUCGGCAUGCUCAGUUUCAUCUCUCGAAUAAACCAAAAUAUCAUUUAUGAACACAACAACAAAUCGAUAUAGGUACGAUCUAAAAAUACGGUUCAUUAAGUCCGUAAAGAUAGCAGGUGCAUUCGUUAGUCUAAAAGGCAUAACUAAGAAUUCAUAAUGACCAUACCUCGUUCUAAAUGAAGUUUUCGGCACAUCAAAAUCUCUAAUUCUCAACUGGUAAUAGCCUGAUCUCAAAUGUAUCUUUGAAAACACUGUAGCCCCUUUCAAUUGAUCAAACAAAUCAUCAAUCCGCGGUAGAGGAUAUUUAUUCUUGAUCAUCACUUUGUUAAGUUGUCGAUAAUCUAUACACAUUCCCAUCGUGCCAUCUUUGUUUUUCACAAACAACACAAGAGCACCCCAAGGUGAGAAACUCGGUCGUGCAAAUCCUCUAUCUAUCAACCAUUGCAAUUGAGAUUUCAAUUCUUUUAACUCUAUUUGAGCCAUUCUAUACGGAGCUAUCAAUAUAGGAGUUGUUCCCGACAAUAACUCAAUGCCGAAAUCAACCUCUCAGAUCGGUGGUAUACCCGGUAACUCUUUAGGAAACACAUCUGGGUAUUCACACACAACUGGCAUUGAUUCGAUCUUCUUUUCAAUUACUUUCAUAUUUAGCACAUAAGCAAAAUAAGCUUCGCAACCCUUUCUCACAUAUUUCUGAGCUAACAUCGAUGAAAUCACUGUUGGCAAGCCAUUCAAAUCAUCUGUUUCAAUUCGGAGAAUCUCAUUAUUCUGACAUCUCAGAUCAAUCAUUUUUCAUUUACAAUUCACAACAGUAUCAUGCAUCGUUAACCAAUCCAUACCCAGAAUUAUAUCAAAUUCGUCAAAUGGUAAUAACAUCAGAUCAGUCAGAAAACAAAUAUCCUAAAUCAUCAACAGACAGUUCUUGCAUACUUUAUCAACCAACACACACUUGCCUAAGGGGUUCGAUACUCUAAUUACAAAUUUAGUAGACUCUACAGGUAAAAGUCUUACUAAAUUCACACAUAUAUACGAAUGAGUUGAUCCUGGAUCUAUCAAUGCAAUCACUUUAGUGUCAUAGAGAGUAAAAGUAUCGGUAAUGACGUCUAGAGAUAACGCUUCUUUGCGAGCACGAAUAGUGUAGGCUCGUACAGGUGCUCUCGCCUCUGACCUCACAACAGAGUCUUUAGCCACUUUUUAGCUAGCAGCCACAUUUCCUGUGUUUCUGGGUUGUUUACCUUUAGCUGAAAUGUUACUCGACCUCACAUUCUGUACUAUAUCUUGUUCAGCCAACUCCGGACAAUCACGGAUAAAAUGAUCCAAUGAUCCACAUUUAAAACAAGCCCGAUCAUUCAAUCUACAAUCACCGAGAUACCUUUUACCACAAUGUUUACAUUCAAGUCGGUUAGGUCUCACACUGCCAACACUAGCAAUCGAAGUAGUUGGAGCUUUGAAGCUCAACUGUUGUCUCACUCGAUCUCUGUUUGAAUGCCCCACAGAUGCAUUGGAACGAUUAAACGAGUCUCAAAAUUUCUUCGACGCAGAUUGAUAAGAUUUACUAGCUGAUCUCUUUCUAGAAUCUCUUACUUCAAAAUCAGCUUUUCUCUUUUUUUUGCUGAGAUCUUCGGCUUUACAAGCCCUUUCAACUAAUACAACAAAUUCUUUGAUUUCCAGAAUCCCAACUAAUAACUUUAUAUCUUCGUUCAGUCCAUCAACAAAUCAUUUACACAUGAUCUCUUCAGUAGAAACAUAUUCCCGGGCAUAUUUGCUCAAACGCAUAAAUUCUCUUUCAUAUUAUGUCACUGUCAUCCGACCUUGUUUCAACUCUAAAAACUCUUUAUGUUUCUGAUUAAGAAACCUUUGACUUAUGUACUUUUUCCAAAACUCGGUCUGAAAGAAUUCCCAGGUAACCCGUUCUUUAGGAACUACUAAUUUCAACGUUUUCCACAAUCAUAUGCAUUAUCUCUAAGUAAAGAUACUACACACUUGAUACAUUCAUCUGAAGUAUAGGACAAUUCAUCAAAUACUCUAAUUGUGUUUUCGAGCCAGAACUGUAACAUCCUGAAAUAUGGCCUAGUCAGAAUAGCGGCUUUGAGACCACAAAUCUGAGACAGAAAUGACUAUUUUAUGACUUUUAUGAAUUCCAUGACGUGUAUGCAUGCUUAUGUGAAAGUUUCAUGAAGAAAUUCUAUGCAUAAAAUGUCUAAUUGAACUUUCGAGACCAAAUUGAAUAAGAUGCAAAACUUGUGUUCUAGAAGUUUUAGCAUGAAAUUGCUUUAGAUUAUAAAUUAUAAGAUCCUAAUUAGCAAUUUGACUAAUUUCUAAAAGUUUGGACAAAAAUGGACAUGUAUACAAAAAUUUUAAAAGAAAGGCCUUAAGGGCAUUUUGGUCAUUUGGUAAUUAAAAAAAUAAAAAGAGGAAAAUAAGUCAAAAUUUGUGUCCAUCUUCCUCCCCCAUUGCCAAAAAUCUCAAGAAGGCAUAACUAGGGUUUUGUUCAUCCUUUCAAGCUUAAUAGUAAGUAUUCCUAGCCCGUUUUUAAUGUUCUUUACAUCUUUUAAGUCCUCGUAACUUGAUUUACCUAUUUCCACCCUUAUUUUGAAGUAUGGUUUAUGUAUGAAAAUUUACCCAUGUGUGACAUGCAUGUAUUUUGAUGGUUUAUGGAGGAAUAUGAGAGUUUGGUGUGUGAUAAAUAUCUUUCACAAGAUGAUUUUUCAUGAAAACCACUAAAAAUGACUAAAUUGAAAAAAGUGUAAAAUAAGUGAUAAAAAUCUGAUUUUUAUGAAAAGUAUGGGUUGUUAUGAAUACAAGGGAAGUUCGGCUAAGCUUGAGUAACAAAGAAAAUGCAUACAUUUCAUUUUACGAGCCUAGGGACUAAACUAUAAAUAAGUGAAAAGUUAGGGUAAAAAGGUAAUUUUUCCAAAGCAUGAAUUAUGGGUUGAUUUGAACAAUGUGAUUAAUGAACAAGUUAAAUUUGGCAUUAUAGAUCAAGAAAAACGUGAUCCGGGUCUUGAUUGAGGGAAGAAUAAAGUUUUUAACGAAUAGGCUCGUUUAUCAUAAUUUUGUACCGAGGUAAGAACAUGUGUAAAUAAUGUGACAAUAUAGUAUGUUUUGAUGUAUUAAUAUUAUGUGAAAAAUAUUUUAUUAUUAUUAUGUAUGUUUUGCCUCAAGAUGGUGUUGUAAGUACGAAUGAUAUUAUGGUCAUUAUCCACGACAUCACGAGCAAGUGCAAUAGAGACGUUAUGUACACAUGAGAAAGAAUCUCGUUUGAACCUUAGGAAUAGUUUAGGAUACAAGUGACAUGUCACUAGGAAUUAAAAAAUUUGAACUCAUUGAGUUUGUAUGGGUUCGUGAUAUAUAUGUGGUACAUGAACUCAUUGAGUUGGUCUGAGUUCAUGAUGGAUGCGAUACAUGUAAUUAGGUUUUGGGCGCUGGUCUUGUGUGUGUUCUACCUGUGGCUAAGUAGUUCUGAGUGCGUCAGAUAUGUGACAGCUUGUGUGAGCAGCCCGUGUAGUUACACCCUGACCGAUAGCUUAUGUAAGCAAGCCCAUGAGUAGCUUUAUUGCGAGCGUUACAUGUUAUGAGGUAGCUUUGGCUACAUAUGUAUAUGUGGCACUUAUUUGCAAGUUUUUCGUGUAUCUAAUAGUAUUCCGAGUGUGAUAAACCGUAAUUUAUACAUGUUUCUAUCCCAUGCUUAACACAUUUUAUGGAUGAUUUUUCCUUAGAAUUGGUUAAUUUGAUGCUCCUAAUGCCUUAAUUUCAUGUUUUAUACUUAAGCAAGAAUAGGAGAGGAAAAUGAACAAGAAACGGGCCAAAAACAGAGAAAAUCGGCCAACUUACGAAAUCAACACGGCCUGGACUUCCUCACACAGGCAGACCACACAGCCGUGUCAAUUUGGUAGAAUCGAAGCAUGACUCACACGGUAGAACACACGCCCAUGCCAUUCUAACAUGCUCGAGCACGACUUGAAGUAAUCACACACGAGCAUGUCACACGGGCGUGUCCUUGUCGAGCCCAAGUUUAGUCCAAUUCGAAAAAGGCCAAUUUUGAGGGUUCUUAGGCAUUCCAAAGCCUAUAAAUACACUCUAGAGGAGGAGGAAAGGGGACACACAGAGAAGGAGGCAAGGAACUACUCAAGGAAAGCCGAUUGAUCCAUCUCAGAAGCCGGAUUCAUCAUCAAGACUGAAGAUCUCCCCUCAAUUUCCCUUCAGGAGUUUUGGGUUUUCUUUAUGUUUUGUAUUCAUUAUUCUUCUGAGAUGUUUUCCUUUUUAGUUAUGAACUAAAUCCCCUAAAUACCUAAGGGGAAUGAAACCUAAGACGAAUCUUGUUAUUAUUUUCUGAAUUGUAUGAUAAAUAUUUGACUUGUUCUUAAUUAUGUGUUCUUAAUUCUUGUUUUGAUAUUCCAUGAUAUUGAUUCAAGUUAAGCUCUUAUUCAGAGGAGGAAUAGACCCUGUCUAAGAGUACAUUUGUCAUAAUUAAGUGGAGUUGGUUGCGCGCCUAGAGAUAGGUUAACAAGAUUUUGUCGGAUUAGGGUGAAACCUAAUAAGGGGAUCCAUAGAUCAAGUUAAUGCAAUCCUAGGGAGUUAAUUAGAAAGAGAUUUCAAUUAUUCAACCUAGGGUUAGACGUUGUUAGUCUCGAGAGGGAUAAUAAUAUAACAUAGGAAUUUCUACAGAUAAAGUCAAAUGAAUAAAUCGUCCAAUUCAGAGUCAAAUAACAAGUGAAGUCUAGGUAGAUUUUUCCUUAGGUAUUGUCUUAAUUCAAUCGAUUUUCCAAAAGUAAUUCCCCAAUUCUAUUUUCUGUGAAUGCUUAGUUUAGUUAAUUAGUUAGUUAAAACAAACCCCAUUAUUCCUAGGCUAGAUAAUAAAAAGACAGUCAUUACUAGUACUUUUAGUUCCUUUGGGUUCGACAAUCCGGUCUUGCUAAAACUAUACUACUGUUCGAUAGGUACACUUGCCUGCAUUAUGAUAAUAGUUAGUUUCAAGAACGAUUAAUUAUAAAUUUAUAAAACUUAUCACACAAAAUCAUGAUCAAGUUUUUGGCGCCGUUUCUAGGGAACUAAGAUAUUAGGAACACUCAAUUUUUAUUACUUUAGCCAUUUAUUUUUACUAAAAUUUAAAUUUAUUUCUAAUUUUUAUUACUAAUUCUUCUUUUUCCCUUUUUCGUGGCAGGUUUUUAUAGUUUAUGACUAGAAGAAACCCGUCAGGGCCAUUGCUUUUUGAUAGUUAAAUCGAUCGUACUGUUCGUAGAGACCAAAGAGAAAUAAGGUGAAGCUUAAGAUACACAGAAAAUAAGCAAGAGGACGAUGUUCAAACCCCAACCGAGGAGAUGGCUGAAAACCAAGACAAUCAGCUACCUACUGCGAUACCCGCUGAACUAGCAAAUUAGAAUCCUGUUCCGUGCACUAUUUAUGAUUAUGCUAAACCUAAUUUAACAGGAACUGAGUCAAGUAUAUUUAGACCUGCUAUUGCUGUUAAUAAUUUUGAACUAAAACCUAACAUUAUUUAAAUGAUACAGCAAUUUGUUCAAUUUGAUGGUUUGAAGGAUGAGGAUCCAAACACUCACUUGGCAAAUUUCAUGGAAUUCUGUGAUACAUUUAAAAUUAAUUUAUGAUGAUGUCAUUCGUCUUCGAUUAUUCCCUUUUUCAUUAAGGAAUAAAGCUAAACAGUGGUUGAACUCGUUACCAUACCAAAAAAUUUUUAUUAAAAUAUUUUUCGCCAGCUAAAAUGGCUAAAUUAUGUAAUGAUAUCUUUUCAUUUGUGCAGAUGGACUUAGAAACUCUUUACGAUGCAUGGGAGAGAUACAAGGGCCUACUACGAAGGUGUCCUCACCAUGGAUUACCUCUAUGGUUGCAAGUUCAAACAUUCUACAAUGGUGUAAACCCCUCGACAAGACAGAUGCCUUGACAAGACAGAUGAUUGAUGCAGCAGCCGGGGGAACCAUCAAUAACAAAACACCUAAAGAGACUUACGAAUUUAUUGAAGAGAUGUCACUGAAUAACUAUUAGUGGUAAGUCAUGAGAACUAAGCAAACUAAAACAACUGGCGUUUAUAAUGUCGAUUCGGUUACUAUGCUAUCAAACCAGGUAGAACUUCUAAAUAAAAAGAUUGAUGGUUUACUUGGUUCCUCGCAUGUUCAUCCAGUAAUGCACUGUGAAAUCAAUAGAGGUGGAUCAAGCAAUUCAGAAUAUCAAUCCUAUGGCCACAGCAUGGAGAACGAACAAUUAAAUUACAUGGGUAAUAAUCCUCGAUCUCAAAACAAUCCAUAUAGUAACACUUACAAUGCAGGUUGGAGGAACCAUCCCAAUUUCUCCUGGGGUGGUCAAAGAAAUCAAAGGCCACAACAUCCUCCGGGUUUCCAACAACCACCUUACCAGCAAGAAAAGAAGUCGAACCUUGAGGAGAUGCUAACCAAAUUCAUCUCGGUGUCAGAAACCCAUUUUCAAAAUACUGAGAUAGCACUUAAGAAUCAACAAGCAUCGAUCCAAGGGAUUGAAACUCAGAUUGGGUAGCUUGCCAAGUUGAUUUCUGAACGACCAUAAGGUAGCUUGCCAAGCAACACAGAAUCUAACCCAAGGGAGCAACUCACCUUGAUUACUAGUCAAGAUGAGGAAGGGUUAGUCACAAUUGAACCAGAACCAAGGCAAGAAACUGAGAUAAGCAAAUGUAAAGGUGAGGUAGACCACAAUGAGCAGAAAUCGGUAAGUACAGAUUAUAAACCUCGUGUGCCAUACCCCAACACGACAAGGAAAGACCGCUUAGAUGAACAAUUUGGUAAAUUCCUUAAACUCUUAAAAAAAUUACAUAAUAACUUUUCGUUUAUUGAAGCUCUAUCACAGAUGCCAAACGUAAUAAAAUUUUUAAAGGAGCUUUUAGAAAAUAAGCGAAAGUUGGAUGAGGCGUCGCAUGUCGAGCUAAACGUAGUUUGCUCAGCUAUUCUACAGAAUAAGCUACCCAACAAGUUAAAAGAUCUAGAGAUUUUUACAGUUCCUUGCUUAAUUGGUAGUUUAGAUGUUAAUAAUGCAUUAGCUAAUUUAGGGGCUAGUAUUAACGUCAUGCCCUACAAAAUGUUCAAACAAUUAGGUAUUGGGAAACCCAAACAGACUAGGAUGAGCAUUCAAUUAGCAAAUAAAACUAUAAGAUUUCUUAGGGGUAUUAUUGAAGAUGUGCUAGUUAAAAUCGAUAAAUUUAUAUUUCCCGUUGACUUCAUUGUUCUAGACAUAGAGGAUGAUAACAACACUCUUUUGAUUUUAGGAAGGCCCUUUUUAGUAACUUCUAGAAUGAUUAUUGAUGUUGGCACAGGUAACCUCACACUUCGUAUGGGAGAUGAAACAAUCACCCUUCAAGCUCGCAAUUUUGGCAACACAUCGAAAAUUGAAGGUGAUUGUCUAAACUAUUCUACUAAAACUGACAAUAUGGUGCAACCUACUUUGCAGGAAAUGAGUUUGAAGGAAGUACAUAAACCAUUUUCAAGCAAUAAUAGAGGACCCAUUCAUGAAGAACGAAGGCUACAAAUCGAGGAGCUAGAUGAAUGGCAGACACAUAAACCGAAAAAACAUGAUAAACCAAAACUACACUAGGAUGAGCUCAGUACCUUUCCAAAUCAACCCAAGGUUGAAGAUAAAGUUUUAUUAGAUACCGCAGAUCCUUACAUUGUCACUACCAAACCGAAUGAAGAAAUUCCUCUUACGGUGCUUAGCAUUUUUCCAUUCGGUACAUCGAGGUAAGUCAUCCCAAGUUUGGCACUUUUAAGGUAAACAAUACCCGCCUAAAACCUUAUUUUGAUGAGAUCCACAAUAGGAAUGAGAAGUAUAAACUCUUCGAACCACCAUGACUAUUCAAUGAAAAGGUAAGUCUAGCUUAUACUAUAAUAAGCACUUCUCGGGAGGCAACUCGAGCACUAACUGUAUUAACUUCUUUAAAUUUUAGUGUUUAACCACCUAACUUACUAACGGAGCUCCUGAAUACAGGUUUCCCACAUAGACACGGCCUACCACCCGGGCGUGCCUUAGGCCGUGUGAAAACAGGGUAAAAAUUUCCCCAACACGGGCUACGAUAAAUCACCACAACCGUGCGACAUGGCCGUGGGCGAACCUAUUAAAUUAACACGGGCAUGGGCCUACAUACAUGGGUGUGGGAGAAGCAAACAAAGACAAACACAGCCGUGCGACACGGUCGUGUGCACCCACACGCCCAAGCAACACGGGCGUAGGCCAAUUGUCAGAUGUGCCCAAAUUUAAAAUUCACGAAUCACAUGGGCAAAAAUUAGGGAACACGGGCGUGUUCCCUGGCCGUGUGUCCCAAAAUCUAUAAAUACCCUGCACUAUUCAUUGUCUUCUUCACUCAAAAUCCCCAACCCUAGCCGCUGCAAGUCCACACAGCCUCCCUACCACGCCCAUGCGCCGCUUCCCACUCCAUUUUUUGACUCCCAAUCUCUUUCCCUUAGCGUUUGUUUACUCUUUUCACUUCUAUUUUACUUAUUUCUAAUGCUUAUUAUCAAAAUAAUCUUCAUUCUAUUCAUAAUAUUUUCAUUUUGUGCAUUAUUCUAUCAUUUAAUUUGCAUUCUUAGGUUAUUUAUCAUAACAUUUCAUGUUGAACCGAGUUGUUAGAAAAGCCUCAUUCUAUUGUCAUACCCAUGCCAUUACUAUGCUCAUUCUCAUGCUAUUACCAUGCUAAUGUCACGAAAUUAUGUUAUCAAAUUGAUUAUUUCGGUUGGGUUUGGUUAGUAUUAGUAGUUUUGGCUGAAAUUGUUAGUUCAAAUUCAUGGCUUUUUCCUUUUCAAAUUCGUUUACCUACUAUUUUUUUUAUAUUGUAGGUAUACAAUGUCAUCUUUAUGUGGUAAAAAGGCUGCUGUCCCUGCUUAAAAAGAAAAGUAAGGGAGUGUCAUCUUCCUCGAGUCCUACCGCAAAAAUUCGUCACCCUUUCUGUAAUUCCCCAUAGGGCCCCAAGAAGACCUUUUCCAAAUAUUUCAGGCCCGACCUUUAAUUGCGGACCGCUGCAUCAAUUGGGCUGCAGUUGAACAAGUUCAGUUGGCUGAUGCAAUUCGGGCCCUCCUAACCACUACCUCUUGGGAGCUUUUUUUUAGGAUCGUCGAGCCAACAUAUCUUGAGCUCACGAUGGAACUAUGUUCAACGUUUCAUCUUCAGACCGUAAUGACAAACUACAAUGAUCUCGGCACGGUCCAAUUUCGCCUAAGCGGAUUAGUCCGCUAGCUAAGCGUCAUAGAAUUCAGUACUACACUGGGCUUAUAUAUGGAGGAGUUCAAGGAGGAGAAUGACUAACAUGCUCUCAACCGCCACAUCCAUCGUUCUUCUUCGAAGUGUUGGGACGCCCUCGCCCCCGACGCUGCCUCCUACAAUCCUAGCCGCUCCAAGGCAUCAGCUCUCCCUUCCUCUCUGAGGUACUUACACGCUAUUUUGGCUCACACGUUAACCAGAAGGAGAGAGAGGACUGGCAUCAUCAACACUCACGAUGCCUACUUUCUAUGGUGUAUGUCGUACGACCACAUCAUAGACCUUGCUGUUUUCAUUGCUCUCGCCAUUCAACAUUAGACGGAGUGACAUAGGAAGGGGGCCAUCUCCAUUGGCCCUUAUGUAACUCAGUUGCCUCGACACUUCGGGCUCCUCAACACCGCAGCCCAAGAAUUUUCCUUGACCCUCAUUGGCCAGAUGUCUUCACAAGGCAUCUUGAGCAUGCUAAGCAUGAGGAUGAUCGAAAAGCGCCGAGGAACCUACCCCCUCAAUAUCGUUUUGCCCAAUCUACCGAGAAGGAGGCCUCCGAGGACAUUAUUGAUGAUGUCCCUCCAUGUCACGAGGACCCACCGUCUCAGCCACCACCACACUGUCAUCCAGUUCAUGCGGCGGCUUCAUACGCUGACAUCUCUGAGCGCCUAACUCGAUUCGAGCAGAAAUGUUUUCAACGCUUCGAUCACAUUGAUGCUACACUACACUAGAUUUGUCAGCACUUCCACAUCUCAUCUUCACCCCCACCUUGUAAACCAUUUAGCGAUGAAGAUGUCUAAAAACUUUUAUUUAUUAAUUUAUGUUUUUACUUUUCUUUUAUUUUAAGACUACUUUUUAUUUUUCUUUCACAUUAUUUUUAUUAGGACUUAUAAUUAUUAUUUUACAAUUUUUGAUUUUGGCUAAUUCAUAUUGAGUACUUACCCUUCCUUAUAUAUUUCCUAAAAGAGUUCCUGAUUCUAUCACAGUUAUAAAGAGCUCCAAAGCUCACUAUUACUCAAGGACUCAAAACUCCACUGGGAAAGGUUCUCCACGACUGCCAUGUCCUGCUCGACCACGACCAUAACCAACUUCAGAUAUAAUAUACUUUUGGUGCAGGACUUAUGGACUAAUGAACCUCUACCACCGCAGGAGUAUCCUCCUUCACCCUCACGCCGGUUAUUCUCCAAAAUUCCAGUUCAAGGAAAUUCAUUCAUCACUAAGGAAGUUUCACUUCUCUCCCUAUCUUAUUUUUAUUUCUAUAUAUCUAUCUUUGUACAUUGAAGGCAAUGUACAUCUUAAGUGUGGGGGGUAUUCAUUUCACUAUCAGAAAAAUCCAUGAAUGAUUGCAUUAUUCUCUUGAAAAGCUCUCAUAUCAUGUUUAGGAUAAAUUUUGAUUGAUUUAUGAUUUUAAUUGAUAUAUCUUAAAUUAAAACAUAGGCAUUCAUGCUUUGAUUAUUUAAACUUUAAACAUUAGAGAAUUAAGCAUGAUAAGUUGAUUUUUAAGAAUUGAAAAUUUUAAGUUGUUUCCCCAAGUUUAGGUAUUAUCUUGAAUUGAAACCCACAAGUUUAAACAUCAAAAAGCAAUGAUUUUUGUGAGAUCUUGAGCCUUUAGAGCAUCUAUUAUUUCUUUUAUGCUCGCUUUCAUUAUGAGUCCGUCAGUAUUGAAUUGUUAUUCUAGAACUUACUUGAUUAUGCAUGUCAAGACCACACCAUUUGAUUUGAUAUGUCAAAAUAAGAAAGGCACUUAGGUGUAACCCACUCACUCCACAAAACCCUACCUUCACAAUUAACCCUUAGUGAAACCCCUUAAGCCUAACAACCCAUUCAUUGAUUUAUCCUCAAUAUUAACCCAUAACUCAUUAUUGUUGAAAUCCCCUAAAUUAAUUUGAUCCCUAUUUUUGUCGAGAUUUGAGUUGGAGUAAUUGCUUCGCUAUGUUUUAUUCUUCUUUUUUUGUAAUUUGACUUGUUCUUAAAAAAAAUGUAUACAUAUUAGUAGUAGUGAUCUUCUGAGCUAAAGAAGUUAAAUUCCAUAUUUUGAGAAAAAAAAAAGCCUAUUGUACGUAAUUGUUGACUAGUCAUUUUUCUAGUUAGGCAAUUUUUCAAUUCAAUCUCGAUUCUAACCCUUUCUUUCAGCUUGAGACCACACCCCCUAAACAAGCCUCAUUACAACUCUCGAAAGACCUUUUGAUUGAUGUUUCAUCUCAAUUUAUAGUGGUGGAGAUUUGAUUUUCAUGCAAGCCUAUGGUAAUGACUUUUCAUUAUUGACUAUUGAGUGCUUCAUUUAUUGUCCUUAAACAUCUUGAGUGAUUUUAGUGAAUCUUCAGUGAGGAUGUGAAACUUUGUGACAUUUUGAAUCAAAGGUAAUUACUUAGACGAGGGGAGACACUUAUGUUUUCAUGAUAAAAUACUCAACUUGGAAUGUUUGAAACUUUGAUGUUCUUUCAGUUGAAUUUUCAAUAUAUGAUUGCCUAUGGAUUAUUUUGAGAUAUUAUCAAUAGAAAUUAUAAGUUGAGGAUUUUGCUUGAAGACAAGAAAAUGCUUAAGUGUGGGGGUAUUUGAUAAACCAUAAUUUAUACAUAUUUCUAUCCCAUGCUUAACACAUUUUAUGGAUGAUUUUUCCUUAGAAUUUGUGAAUUCAAUGCUCCUAAUGCCUUAAUUUCAUGUUUUAUACUUUGGCGGGCAUAGGAGAGCAAACUUACGAAAAACGGGCCAAAAAUGGAGAAAAUGGGCCAACUUACGAAAUUAAAAUGGUCCAGACUUUCUCACACGGGCAGACCACAUGGCCGUGUCAAUUUGGAAAAAUCGAAGCAUAACUCACACGGGUAGAAUACACGCUCGUGCCAUUCUAACAGGCUCGAGCACGGGUUGAAGUAAUCGCACACGGGUGUGUCCCUACCGAGCCCAAGUUUAGUCCAAUUCAGAAAAGGCCAAUUUUGAGGGUUCUUAGGCAUUCCAAAGCCUAUAAAUACACCCUAGAGGAGGAGAAAAGGGGACACAUAGAGAAUAAGGCAGGGAACUACUCAAGGAAAGCGGAUUGAUCUAUCUUAGAAGCCAGAUUCAUCAUCAAGAUUGAAGAUCUCCCCUCAAUUUCCCUUCAGUAGUUUUGGGUUUUCUUUAUGUUUUGUAUUCAUUAUUCUUCUGAGAUGUUUUCCUUUUUAGUUAUGAACUAAAUCCCCUAAAUACCAAAGGGGAAUGAAACCUAAGACGAAUCUUGUUAUUAUUUUUUGAAUUGUAUGAUAAAUAUUUGACUUGUUCUUAAUUAUGUGUUCUUAAUUCUUGUUUUGAUAUUCCAGGAUAUUGAUUCAAGUUAAGCUCUUAUUCAGAGGAGGAAUAGACCCUGUCUAAGAGUACAUUUGUUUUAAUUAAGCGGAGUUGGUUGCGCGCCUAGAGAUAGGGUGACAGGAUUUUGCCAGAUUAGGGUGAAAGCUAAUAAAGGGAUCCAUAGAUCGAGUUAAUGCAAUCUUAGGGAGUUAAUUAGAAAGAUAUUUCAAUUAUUCAACCUAAGGUUAGGCAUUGUUAGUCUCGAGAGGGAUAAUAAUAUAACUUAGGGAUUUGUACAGAUCAAGUCAAAUGAAUAAAUCGUCUAAUUCAGAGUCAAAUAACAAGUGAAGUCUGGGUGGAUUUUUCCUUAGGUAUUGUCUUAAUUCAAUCGUUUUUCCAAAAGUAAUUCCCCAAUUCUAUUUUCUGUAAAUUCUUAGUUUAGUUAAUUAGUUAGUUAAAACAAACCCCAUUAUUCUUAGGCUAGAUAAUAAAAAGACAGCCAUUACUAGUACUUUUAGUUCCUUUGGGUUCGACAAUCUGGUAUUGCUAAAACUAUACUAUUGUUCGAUAGGUACACUUGUCUGCAUCGUGAUAAUAGUUAGUUUCAAGAACGAUUAAUUAUAAAUCUAUAAAACUUAUCACACAAAAUCACGAUCAGAGUGCUCAACGGCUAAUGCAAUGGAUGAGGUGAUGAAAGUCCCAAUGAGGGCAUGUUAAAGACUGUAUGAUUAUAUGAUAUACUAUGGGUAAGUACAGGUAUAUAUGCUAAACUCAUGAGCAAUGCCUUGAUAAAGGAUGAAUUGUGAUGAGAAAAUAUAUAUAUGAACACUUGAUAAAUAAAGUCAAAAUGCUUGAAUGAUGAAUGAUCUUUAUGAUUAUGUUAUUAUGUCUUUGUGUGAUAAUUGCUUACUAUCAUUGCAUAUUAUUUGCAUGUGGACUUACUAAGCUUUAAUGCUUAUGCCCUUUCUUUUCCAUCCUUUGUAAUACCACCAAGCUAGCUUAGGGAUCAGAAGCUGUCGGAGUAUUUGAUAACACUAUCAAAAGAAUAUUGGGUAUAGUGAAUUUGAUAACUUGAGUAUGGCAUGUGUCAUAUUGGAAGAAACUCCAUGAACCACUCGAUCAUCAUUUGGAAGAAGGCUUGCUUAGCCUCUCCACUUUGGCUAUUAGAUAUGAGUCUAGAAUCAGAUUGCGCUGCCCCUUGAGCGGGAGCAAGUGCAUUACUUUCAACAUCGUCAGCGAUGGCUUGUUCGGGACCCAUUUGCUAUAUAAAAACACAUUUUAACUGUCAGGAAUCAUCACACUAUCGCAGUUUAUAUAUAUGACAUGUAUAGUCUAGAAUCAUCAUACAUUUUAACUGAUACCAAUUAAAUGUAACACCCCUAAAUCGUAUCCGUCACCGAAUUAGGGUUAUGAGGCAUUAUAAAAAAAUACACAUCAUUUACAAACAUUUAAGCAUUCGUAAUCAAAAUUCAUUCAAAUCAUUCACAUUGUCCCUUAUCAAGCUCUACGAGUCCUUAAAACAUGCUUAGAAGUGGUUCAGGACUAAACGAUAACAUUUGCAAACUUUAGGAGACUUAGAAUAUUUUCAAACAUAUAAGGGUGAUACGUGAUAUUCGCGACAGGUUUUAAAUAUUUAUAACUAAUCAUUCUUGAAAUUAACUAUUAUCACGAUGAAGGCAAGUGUACCUAUCGAACAGUAGUAUAGCUUUAGCAAGACUGGAUUGUCAAACCCAAAGGAACCAAGAGUACUAGUAAUUACUUUCUUUUUAUUAUCUAGCCUAAAAAUUAAGGGAUUUAUUUAUCUGAAUUAAUUAACUAAACUAAGAGUGCACAGAGAGAAAUUGGGGAAAAGCUUUUGGGAAAAUUCGAUUGAUUAAGACAAUACCCAAGGAAAAAUCUACCUAGACUUCACUUGUUAUUUGACUCUGAACCAGACAAUUUAUUCAUUUGACUUGAUCCGUAGAAAUCCCUAAGUUAUAUUAUUAUCUCUCUCGAGACUAAUAACGUCUAACCCUAGGUUGAUUAAUUGAAAUCUCUUUCUAAUUAACACCAAGUGUUGCAGUAACUCGAUCUAUGGAUCCCCUUAUUAGGUUUCACCCUAAUCCAGUAAAAUCUUAUCACCCUAUCUCUAGGCAUGCAAUCAACUCCGCUUAAUUUAUGACAAAUUUACCCUUAGACAGGGUCUAUUCCUCCUUUGAAUAAGAGUAUUAACUCGAAUCAAUAUCCUGGAAUAUUAAAAUAAGAAUUAAGAACACAUAAUUAAAAACAAGUCAAAUAUUUAUCAUACAAUUCAUAUAAUAAUAACAAGAUCUGUAUUAGGUUUCAUUCCCCUUAGGUAUUUAACGGGUUUAGUUCAUAAUUAUAGAAGAAAACAUCUCAGAAGAAUAAUGAAUACAAAACAUGAAGUUGAUACCUCAAACGUCAAAUAUUUCACAUGAGAGCAUAUAUGUCUGAGGCAUUUCAUCACGUUUGGAUAUAUUACAUGUCUUUUGACAUUUGUCACAAGAAGUAACAUACCUGUUGGCAUCUUUGAAUAGAGUGGGCCAAUAAAAACCUGAUUUGAAGACUUUAUGUACGGUCUUAUUUCCACAGUAAUGUCCUCCAGUCGAUCCUCAGUGGCAAUGUUCCAAGAUUUUCAAUGCUUCUGUCCUUGUAACGCAUCUCCUAAUGAUUUGAUCUGCACAUUUAUAGAAAAGAAAAGGGUCUUCCUAGAAGUAGUUUUUCACAUCAGUGAAGAAUCGCUUCUUUUGCUAAUGUGUCAACCUUUUUAGGAUAAUGUUAGCGGCUAAAAAAUUUGCAAUAUCUGCAAACCAAGGUACCUCAGAAUCAGAUAUAGCAAAAAAAUGUUCUUUAAGGAAUGAAUCAUUUAUUUCAAUGUCAUCUGGCUCUUUGGUACUUGAGUUUUCAAGCCUGAAGAGAUGGUCAGCCGCAAGAUUUUUAGCUCAUUUCUUGCCCUUAAUCUCCAAGUCAAAUUCCUGCAAUAAUAAGAUCCAUCGAAUGAGUCAAGGUUUUGCAUCAGUUUUAGUCAAAAGAUGGCGAAGAGCGGAAUGGUCAGUAUAAACGACAACUUUAGACAAUAUUAAAUAUGGCCUAAAUUUAUUGAAUGCAAAAACCACAGCUAGCAGCUCUUUCUCCGUGAUGGUGAAAUUUUCUUCGUGGCUGUCAAAGUUCUGCUAGCAUAAUAGAUAGGUUGAAAAUGUUUAUCUCUUCGCUGUCCCAAAACUGCACCUACUGCAAAAUCACUCGCAUCUCACAUUAGUUCAAAAGGUUAAUUCCAAUCAAGUGCAAUUAAAAUUGGAGCUUUAGUCAGUUUAUCCUUUAAAGUAUUAAAUGCUUCUAAACACUCUUGAUCAAAAUUAAAAGGCACAUCUUUUUCUAGUAAUUUAGUCAAAGGCUUAGCUAUUUUAAAAAAGUCUUUAAUAAAUCUUCUAUAAAACUCAUCAUGUCCAAAGAAGCUUCUAAUAGCCUUAACCAAAUUAGGGGGAGGUAGUUUUUCAGUUGUUUCAAUUUUAGAUUUAUCAACCUUAAUCCCUCUACUAGAAAUUUUAUGUCUUAACACAAUACCUUCUUGAACCAUAAAGUGACAUUUCUCCCAAUUAAGCACAAGGUUUGUUUCCUCACAUCUUAUUAACACUCGUUUUAAAAUUUUGAGGCAAAGAUGGAAAGAGUUACCGAAAAUUGAGAAAUCAUCCAUAAAUACCUCCAUCACGUCUUCUACGAGUUCGUCAAAAAUGGCCAUCAUGCAGCGCUGAAAAGUAGUAGAAGCAUUACAUAAUCUAAAAGGCAUUCUACGAUAAGAAAACGUACUGUAUGGACAUGUAAAUGUCAUCUUUUCUUGAUCUUCAGGAGCUAUUGGGAUUUGGAAGUAGCCAGAGAGUCCGUUUAAAAAGCAGUAGUACAUGUGUCCUGACAUUGUUUCCAACAUUUGGUCAAUGAAUGGAAGGGGAAAGUGGUCUUUUCUCGUGGCAUCAUUUAGCUUCCUAUAAUCAAUGCACACUCUCCAACCUAUGAUUGCCCUUGUUGGGAUUAAUUCAUUCUUCUCAUUGGCUACAACAGUCAUGCCUCCUUUCUUAGGGACAACUUGCACUAGACUCACCCAAGAACUAUCAAAAAUAGGACAAAUAAUUCCAGCAUCUAGGAGUUUAAUUACCUCAGCUUUAACAACUUCCUUCAUGUUGAGUGUAACACCCCAAACCCGGCCUGGAAGUUUGGCUCGAAUCUGGCGUGUCACAUUGAAGUGUUUUUCAAAAACCAUGUUUUCAUUAAAAACCCUUCUUAAUAAUUAAAAACUUAUACCCUUUUUUAACCUUGUUAGAAAACCUCGGCUAAAUAACAUUCUUAACAACUUUGUAAAAAUCUUGGUAGUUACGAAAGCUUAAUUUAAAAACAAUUGCGGAUACGUGAUGUUUUGAACAACAGUAGUUACUUUGGAAAACCGUGUUUUAAUACUAGCAAUUAUAAGAACAAUAAAUAAAAUUCCAAAUUUGAAAUCCAGAAAAUUACAACGGCUGUACUACAACCCACAUAAAACAUUUAAAAGUAAUAAUCAAAACAAUAAAAUAAAUAGUGUGUGUGGCUUCCUCCGAGCCCCUCGUAGCUUCGAUCCGUCUAAGGCUGGAAAUUACCUAAAAGGUUAAUAAACGGGGUGAGUUUACGAAAACUCAGUGUAAAAUCCCCUACUAAAAAGGAACAGUCAGUCGUAUAAAAGAAUUAAAAGUCUGGCCCCAGCCUUACUUACAGUUUCAGUAUCAAUUGGGCCUUAGCCCACUAUAACAGACAGUACUAGAUGGGCCUGAGCCCAUUACAGAAUAAGAAACAUUAUCAGAACUAGAAUCACAACGAGAAUCAGAAUCAGAAUUAGGUGACAGAAUCAGAAUCAGAAUUAGGUGACAAAAUUAGAAUCAAAAUCAGUAUCAGGUAACAGAAUCAAAAUCAGAAUGUGAAUGCAAUCCCAACCCAAUCCAGCCGUAUACACCCUCGUACCAACCUUACACCAUAUGGGGAGACUACUCGACCCACCCAACCGCUACACACCACAGAAAUUGCAGCGAGGCUGCCAGAUAUUGUGACAAAGUCACCAAAUACAGAUAUUGUGGCUAGGCCACCAGAACAGAUAUAUAUAUAUGUGACGAAGCCACCAGAUUGCAGCGAGGCUGCCAGAUAUUGUGACGAAGUCACCAGAACAGAUAUAUGUGACGAGGCCACCAGAUUGCAGCGAGGCUGCCAGAACGCUUCCUUCAUCAAUAUAAACCCAUGUCCCAUGCAAUAGAAAUAAUACGUCAUGGCAUACGUAUACAGAAACAGAACAUCAUGAUUUUCAGAAAAAAUAUAACCCUAAGGGUAAAAUCGUAAUUUUGCAUGCAUAAGGGUAUUUUAGUAAUUAUUACUUUUUGCUAAGGUUUCAUGCUCAUUCUAACGUUUACCAAGUAAUCAGAAGUACUUACCUCGUCUUUUUACCAAAGUGGGCCCGUUGGUCUAUUGGCCCGUUUUCGACCCAUUAAGCCCAAAAAUAUCGUGCACGAAAAUGCACACUCUGCACUCUAAUCAUCCAAAUGCACCAUAUUCAUUAACAACUGUCUCACGAGCGCUCGCACGCUCGUGAGUUUACAAAAUACCAACGUUUCGGUAUUUCAGUUUUUACCGAUUCAGUCUAAGGGAGGGUGUCGUUUACACACCUGGUUGAUGACGAUUGAUGACGAUAUCUCCCACGCGAUAAUCCUACAAUCGAUCACUAACACAUUAGACUUAUGAAUUAACGAUAACUAACAUAAAUCCACGUCAACUAACCCAAUCAUCACACAAGUUAGUCAUUCUCGCACGAUGGGCAAAAUGGUAAUUUUACCCCACGAGGGUAUCUCGGUAAUUCUACCCUAUAGGGGUAUUUCAGUAAUUUUACAAAUCAGGGGUAUUUUGGUAAUUUUACAAACCAGGGAUAUUUUGGUAAUUUUGCUAAUUGAGGGUAUUUUGGUAAUUUUACAAACCAGGGGUAUUUUGGUAAUGUGGUAAACUAAAGUAUUCUAAACAGGGAUAACAAUACGAAUGGACCUAAAGCCCAUUCUCGGCCCAAAUGGGCUCACAUACUCGUGUAGCCCUUUUAGCCCAAAUCUAGCCACAAAUAUGAGAUUCACCUAGGCUAGUCCAAUAUUUACUACACAAUUAAACAACUUAUCCAAUUGGGCCCGUAGGCCCAUUGGGCACACAUGGCCCCUUUUGGCCCAUCGCGGCCCGAAGUAGCCAUCCUAUAGCUAGAGUAGUGAGAAAAUACACACCUGUUAGGAGACUGCAGUUAAUCCGCGCUCCAAGCACUCUUAGCUGACGCCCAACCCAAACGAGCACGUCACAAAGCGAAAGGGAUCAGCCAAGAAGGGUAUGCCUACUCUCCUCAUGGUUCUCUCUAUUUAAAGCCAGCUUCGUAUCUACUCUUAUGUUAGCUUCCCAAUGUGGGAUCCCUCCAUCACCAGAGUUUAAAACCAACACCAACUCUUGUCGUCCCAACGUAGCAAAAUAAUCAACCUUUGUGUGCCAAGGGAUUCGAACCAAAGUCCUCUCACAUGCCAACUCACACCACCACCACUAGGCCAUCAACUCAUUUGUGUCAUAAAUCCAACACAUUAAACUUUAAAGUGCACCUACUUGCUUCCAGAUUUAUUGAAAAGAAAAACCAAAAUAUAUUGCAAGAGCCAAGACUUGAAACUUGGACCCCUUGCUUCAUCUAUGGCGUCACUUCCUUGUCCCCUAAGUGGCGCCACCUUGCCACUACACUACACUCAUUUUUGUGUCAUCUUUUCCUCCAACAAUAUUCUUAAGGCCUACCUACUACACCCAGGGUUUGAUUCACCUUAAACCAAAAUUUUAGCUAGAGUCCAGAUUGAACCCAGGACUUCUCCAACACUUCUCAACACACUUAACCAUUAAAACAAGCCUUCAUUAACGAAAUUUACAUGCACAACAAAAUAUUAUAAGCUGCCUUCAACCGCUCUCAUGCUCAAGGCCCAAAACUUCUAGGCCCAAAUUUAGGGUGCUACAACUCUACCUCCCUUAAAGAAAUUUCGUCCCCGAAAUUUCCAUCUAACAGGGUGGUCGUGUAACAUCUCCCCCACUACGCUACCGCUGCGCACUCUGAUCCUACUAUCACUAUCACACAUCAACUAGAACUUGAAACAUCUCAUACAUACAACACUUAUUCACUGAAGCAGACACAUAUUUAUCAAACAUAUAUACAAUUUCUAUAUCCAAACAUCACAUCCAAAUAAAAUAAAUACCAAAUUUAAAUUCAGACCAAUAUAUAAAGAAUCCACAGUAUUUCAAUUUCUAAACAGACAAAAGUAUUCAGAAGACUUACGAAUUCGGCGCCGGAGACUCGGUGUGCCACACUUUUUAAAAGAAAUACUUCAAACUGAGCCGAGUUGUUGCGACCUAGGCUCUGAUACCACUAAAUGUAACACCCCAAACCCGGCCUGGAAGUUUGGCUCGAAUCUGGCGUGUCACAUUGAAGUGUUUUUCAAAAACCAUGUUUCCAUUAAAAACCCUUCUUAAUAAUUAAAAACUUAUACCCUUUUUAAACCUUGUUAGAAAACCUCAGCUAAAUAACAUUCUUAACAACUUUGUAAAAAUCUUGGUAGUUGUGAAAGCUUAAUUUAAAAGCAAUUGCAGAUACGUGAUGUUUUGAACAACAGUAGUUACUUUGGAAAAUCGUGUUUUAAUACUAGUAAUUAUAAGAACAAUAAAUAAAAUUCCAAAUUUGAAAUCCAAAAAAUUACAACGGCUUUACUACAACCCACAUAAAACAUUUAAAAGUAAUAAUCAAAACUAUAAAAUAAACAGUGUGUGUGGCUUCCUCCGAGCCCCUCGGAGCUCCGAUCCGUCUAAGGCUGGAAAUUACCUGAAAGGUUAAUAAACGGGGUGAGUUUACAAAACUCAGUGUGAAAUCCCCUACUAAAAAGGAACAGUCAGUCAUAUAAAAGAAUUAAAAGUCUGGCCCCAGCCUUACUUACAGUUUUAGUAUCAAUUGGGCCUUAGCCCAUUAUAACAGACAGUACCAGAUGGGCCUUAGCCCAUAACAGAAUAAGAAACAUUAUCAGAACUAGAAUCAAAAUAAGAAUCAGAAUCAGAAUUAGGUGACAGAAUCAGAAUCAGAAUUAGUUGACAGAAUUGGAAUUAGAAUCAGUAUCAGGUAACAGAAUCAAAAUCAGAAUAUGAAUGCAAUCCCAACCCAAUCCAUCCGUAUACACCCCCGUACCAACCUUACACCAUGUGGGGAGGCUACUCGACCCACCCAACCACUACACACCAUAAAAAUUGCAGCGAGGCUACCAGAUAUUGUAACGAAGUCAUCAGAUACAGAUAUUGUGGCUAGGCCACUAGAAUAGAUAUAUAUAUGUGGCGAAGCCACAAAAUUGCAGCGAGGCUGCUAGAUAUUGUGACGAAGUCACCAGAACAUAUAUAUAUAUAUAGCGAGGCCACCAGAUUGCAGUGAGGCUGCCAGAACGCUUCCUCCAUCAAUAUAAACCCAUGUCCUGUGCAACAGAUAUAAUAUGUCAUGGCAUACGUAUACAGAAACAGAACAUCAUGCUUUUCAGAAAAAAAUAUAACCCUAAGAGUAAAAUCGUAAUUCUGCAUGCAUAAGGGUAUUUCAGUAAUUAUUACCUAUUGCUAAGGUUUCAUGCUCAUUCUAACGUUUACCAAGUAAUUAGAAGUACUUACCUUGUCUUUUUAACAAAGUGGGCCCGUUGGCCCAUUGGCCCGUUUUCGGCCCAUUAAGCCCAAAAAUACCGUUGUGCACGAAAAUGCACACUCUGCACUCUAAUCAUCCAAAUGCACCAUAUUCAUUAACAACUGUCUCAUGAGCGCUCGUACGCUCGCGAGUUCACAAAAUACCAACGUUUUGAUAUUUCAGCUUUUACCGGUUCAGUCUAAGGGAGGGUGUAGUUUACACACCUGGUUGGUAACAAUUGAUGAUGAUAUCUCCCGCACGAUAAUCCUACAAUCGAUCACUAACACAUUAGACUUACGAAUUAACGAUAACUAACGUAAAUCCACGUCAACUAACCCAAUCAUCACACAAGUUAAUCAUUCUCGCACGAGAGGCAAAAUGGUAAUUUUACCCCACGAGGGUAUCUCAGUAAUUCUACCCUACAAGGGUAUUUCAGUAAUUUUACAAAUCAGGGGUAUUUUGGUAAUUUUUUUAAUCGAGGGUAUUUUGGUAAUUUUACAAACCAGGUGCAUUUUGGUAAUUUCGUAAACUAAAGUAUUCUAAAUAGGGAUAACAAUACUAAUGGACCUAAAGCCCAUUCUCGGCCCAAAUGGGCCUACACGCUCGUGUGGCCCUUUUAGCCCAAAUCUAGCCACAGAUAUGAGAUUCUCCUAGCCUAGUUCGAUAUUUACUACACAAUCAAACAACUUAUCCAAUUGGGCCCGUAGGCCCAUUGCGGCCCGAAGUAACCAUCCUACAGCUAGAGUAGUGAGAAAAUACACACCUGUUAGGAGACUGCAGUUAAUCCGCGCUCCAAGCACUCUUAGUUGAUGCCCAACCCAAACGAGCACGUCAUAAAUCGAAAAGGAUCAGCCAAGAAGGGUAUGCCUAAUCUCCUCAUGGUUCUCUCUAUUUAAAGCCAGCUUCGCAUCCACUCUUAUUUUAGCUUCCCGAUGUGGGAUCCCUCCAUCACCAGAGUUUAAAACCAACACCAACUCUUGUCGUCCCAACAUAGCAAAAUAAUCAACCUUUGCGUGCCAAGGGAUUCGAACCAAAGUCCUCUCACAUGCCAACUCACGCCACCACCACUAGGCCAUCAACUCAUUUGUGUCAUAAAUCCAACACAUUAAACUUUAAAGCGCACCUACUUGCUUCCAAAUUUAUUGAAAAGAAAAACCAAAAUAUAUUGCAAGAGCCAAGACUUGAACCUUGGACCCCUUACUUCCUCUAUGGCAUCACUUCCUUGUCCCCUAAGUGGCGCCACCUUGCCACUACACCACACUCCUUUUUGUGUCAUCUUUUCCUCCAACAAUAUUCUUAAGGCCUACCUUAAACCAAAAUUUUUGCUAGAGUCCAGAUUUGAACCCAAGACUUCUCCAACACUUAUCAGCACACUUAACCACUAAAACAAGCCUUCAUUAAUGAAAUUUACAUGCACAACAAAAUAUUAUAAGCUACCUUCAAUCGCUCCCAUACUCAAGGCCUAAAACUUCUAGGCCUAAAUUCAAGGUGUUACAUUGGGAUUUAGUCGUCUUUGGGCUUGCACGCAUGGUUUAUAUUCAUCUUCCAUUAAAAUUUUGUGGGUGCAAAAAGAAGGGCUGAUCCGUUUAAUGUAAGAAAUUUUCCACACUAUGGCCCUUUUAUGCUCUCUUAAUAUUUGGAGUAAUUCCUCUUUCUCCUUGGGUUGCAAGUUGGAUGCAAUAAUUACCAGUAAAGUAGAAUUAUUUCCAAGGAAUGCAUAUUCCAAGUGAUUCGGCAAUUGUUUAUGUUCCAGUUUGGGAGGUUCGUCAAUAGAGGGUUUUUGCUUAAGUUCAUAUUUUACCUUAAUUCCCCCAUAUUCUGCUAAUUUUGGAGAGGUUUCAUUGGAGUUUAGUUCGAUUCCUAUCUCAGAAUCAUCAUUCACCCUCUCUCCUUGGGCAAGAUACAGUUCCAUCGUGUCCUUGUGUACGAUUUCCUGAAAAGAAUCUUGAGUAGCAUGAUCAAUAAAGUCGAUAAAAUAACAUGAGUCAUCUUGUUCUCUAGAAAAUCUCAUGGCAUCAUAAAUUUUAAAAAUAAUCUCUUCGUCACCUACUCUAUGUGACAGCCCUAUUUUGACCCUAGUCGGGAAGUGGUUUCGGGACCGCUAAACCGAGUCACUAAAAUAUUUGAAUAUAAUAUUUUAUGUCUAAAAUAUGUGUUUAUGCCUGUGUCAAUUUUUAAAUGCUUUAAUUUUUUCAAAUUGAUGUGAAAUUAAUUGAAAAUAGACUUGUGUGAAAAUUUUGAGAAUAUGUUAGGUAAAUUUUGAAAUGGCCUUGUAUUAUGUGACUUUAAAACACAAGGACUUGCAUGUCAAAUUGACAUGGUUUUUUUAUAGUGGCUGGCCAUGUGGAAUAAUCAUUGAAAUGUAUGUAUUUUAUACAUAUAUUUGUAUUAUAAUAUAAUUAUAAUUAUAUAUGUUAUUGGUGUUAAAAUAAAAUAAAUAAAAUAGUGAAAGGUGAAAAGAACAAGGCUUAGUUCAUCUUUUGUUCUUCAUUUGCCGAAUAUAGGAGGGAAAGCUAGGUUUUCGUUCACUCUUUGAUUUUUGCUUGAUUAAGGUAAAAAUUUCAUGUUAUUUCCUUUGAAAUUUUUUAAGUGUGGUUGAUAGCUAAGUAUUUGACUUAGCCCAUUUUGAAAUUUUGAAUUCUAUGGUGAUUUGGGCAUUCGGCCAUGAUAUGGAUGGUAAGAAAUGGUGGUUGUUUUAUGCUCUUAUGAGUAAAGGUGGAUAAGUGAGGUUUAAACUUGUUAGAUAUGCAUAGUAGUGGUUUAGGUGCUUUGGGGAAUUUUGGCUAACAUGUUUGUGCUUACCGAAAUUGAAUUUGAGGUUUUGAGCAUAAUUUGUGUAACUUGUGAAUGAAAUACUUGAAAUUAUGAAUUAGGAACAUGAAUUUAGUCGGCUACUUAAGGCAAAUUGUUAAAUAAUGCUCAACAUUAGUGUUAUUUACUUAAUUGGCAAAUUUAGCUGGGUGAAUUCGUGGGUAUGGGGCAAAGUAUUUAUAUUCGGCCAUUAGCUAGAUUUUGUUAAGAUUUGGAUCAUUGAGAAUUUAGUCAAUAUGCUUAAAAAGAAGCUUUCAUGGUUGCCGAAUUGUAAAGUGAGAAGUUGCUAAGUAAAAUUGAUGUUAAAAUCAAUGAAAUAGAUAAUGGUAGGUUUAAUUGAAGAAGUCAUGCUUUGUGUGCCUUAUUUGCUUAUUGAACAUUCGACUUUGUCCCUAGAGAAUGAAUGAAUUGAUGAUAAUUGUUUAUGGGAAUUAACUUUGCCAUGUUUAUGUUAACAAGAUGAGAAAUGAAUUAAGAUGGUCCUAGUGUGCCGAUUGGGAGCUAGGAAAUUGAGUUAAAGAUAGAAUAUAGUGAGUAAAUAUUUCAUAGACAUUUUUGACACUUAAGUUCACAUGAAUUUAAGCUUACUAAGUGAUCACAUAUUCGGCUCUUGAUGAUUAUUAUGUCAUGAAUAAUAAGUUUGAUUAAAAGAUUAUGUAAACUUGAUCAAAUUAAUAAUUUAGUUGUGACUUGUAACAUAGUUGUAUUUGGCCGAAUGUGUAUGUAAAGGAAAAUUGUGUGUGUGUGUGUGUCAUAUUGGAAUGAAAGUGUAAUUAUUAAAUGAGAGGUAUGAAUAAGGUUUAAUAUAAUUAAACUUGUUUAACAUAGCUCAAGAGCAUAGAGGGGCAACAUCGGAUAAGGGAAAAGCUAAAGUCACGGAAUAUACGACCCGAAAUUUGAUCAGAAAGAUACAAGGUAAGUGUUCGAGUAAUGAAACUUAGCUUAUGAUUUGAUAAAAUCAUGAUAUAUAAGCAUAAUAAAUAAAUUGUGACCUAAUGGUUCUACUUGAAUUACGUAGUGAGAUAAAUAAUUUGUGCAUAUGACUUGUAGCCGAAUGGUUAUAGAAAUCAUGUUGGAUAGCGAAACGAAAUCGUGUUCUUUGUAUGUGGCUAUUGAGCCGAAAGUGGAAUGGUUGAUAAGCAUGUUGUGCUUGGGUUCUAGUAAUAUAAAUGAAAUGCUAAUGUGUUAUGAUAUAUAUAUGUGUGCAUGAUAAUUGAGGAUUAUAACCGGGCUAAGACCCGUAGGCCUUGUGUGAGAUUUAUAUCCGGGCUAAGUCCCAAAGGCAUUCGUGCUGGUGUUAUAUCCGGGCUAAGUCCCGAAGGCAUUUGUGCUGGUGUUAUGUCCGGGCUAAGUCCCGAAGGCAUUCGUGCUGGUGUUAUAUCCGGGCUAAGUCCCGAAGGUAUUUGUGCUGGUGUUAUAUCCGGGCUAAGUCCCGAAGGCAUUCGUGCUGGUGUUAUGUCCGGGCUAAGUCCCGAAGGCAUUCGUGCUGGUGUUAUAUCCGGGCUAAGUCCCGAAGGUAUUUGUGCUGGUGUUAUAUCCAGGCUAAGUCCCGAAGGUAUUCGUGCUGGUGUUAUAUCUGGGAUAAGUCCCGAAGGUAUUCCUGUUGGUGUUAUAUCCGGGCUAAGUCCUGAAGGCAUUUGUGUUGGAAAUGUGUGAUCUUUCUAUAAUAAUUCCAAUUAAUGUGCUCACAACCCUAAGAUGGUCAGGUAUGUACCGUAUAUACGUUGUAAAAUUUGAUUCAGUUUAAAUUGUGAUUAUUCAUUUGGAUAGUGCUCUUCUGGCCAUUGCUUAGGGUUGUAUGAAGUCUAUAGCUUAUUCAGGAUACAUGAAUUUUGAUUCAAGUGGAAAUAUGUUAAGAUUGGCUCUGAGCAUGUGAGUAUAUUGGUUGAAGUGUGAAGUAACAUGAAUAUGUGAAUAUGCGUAUAUGUAUUUAUUUAGCCUUGUAAUUGAAUUAGAUGUAUUCGGCCAAAUGAUGAAGUUGGUUGGAUAAAAAGAAGUUAUCUACGUGAUAUGAAUUUAUGUUUAAGGAAAAUUUUAAAAUGACAUGCAUGAACAAUACUGGUAUAUUUUAGUCAUGGUUACAUUCGGUCAAAGAAAAGAUGAUAAGCCUUAUGAAUGCUAUGCUUUAAUUUUAAAUGAUUUCAUUGCUUAAAACUUACUAAGCAUAGAAAUGCGUACUCUGUUGUCCUUAAUGCUCUGUUUUAUAGAUCUCGUUCAUUAGCUAUGGUCUCGGGAAUCUCAAAGUCGAAGUCGUCCACACUAUUUAAGCCCAUUCGGUACUCUAGUAGCUAAACUUUGAUAAUGGCAUGUAUAGGCUUGACUUUUUGAUGUUAAAUAAGUAUCUUUUUGAUGAUGUAUAUAUGUAUAGCCAUGCGAAAGUGGCUUGUUAUAUGUGUUCCACAUAGUUAAUGUGAAUGUGUGGUUGAUAUUCGAUUAAUGUUUUCCAUGUUUUGAUGUGAAUUGAACUUAAGAAUGAAUCAAUGUACCCAUUAACUUGAGAUGACUCUUUUGUAUAUUGUAUAAUUGAAAAAAAAAACAAGUUGGAAUUCGGUUUUAUAAGUGUGCCAACGGGAGUUAUUCAAAUAAAGUUAAAUGGAAUUUCGUGCUUGUAUGGUAAUACUCCUUAACCCUCCGGCGACGGGUACAGGUUAGGGGUGUUACACUCUAAGUACCAAUUUACCAUCACCCACAUCAAUUACAGCUCUGGCAGUGGCCAAGAAUGUUCGAUCUAAGAUUAAAAGCACAUCAGCAUCUUCAUCCAUGUCAAGCACAAUGAAAUCAACAGGGAAUAUAAAUUUAUCUACUUUUACAAGUAUGUCCUCUAUAAUUCCCCUGGGAUAUUUAACAGAUCUAUCAGCUAAUGGAAUACUCAUCCUAGUGGGUUUAGGCUCCCCAAGACCAAGUUGUUUAAACAUUUUAUAUGGCAUCAAAUUAAUGCUGGCGCCUAAAUCAGCUAGCGCUUUAUCAACAUUCAAACUACCAAUUAAGCAGGGAAUAGUAAAACUUCCUGGAUCUUUCAAUUUGGUUGGUAGUUUAUUUUGUAGUAUGGCCGAGCACUUCUCAUUAAGUUCCACUGUAGAUAAGUCUUAAAACUUCCUUUUGUUUGUUAGAGGCUCCGUUAAAAAUUUUGCAUAUGUAGGCAUCUGCGAUAUAGCUUCAACAAAAGGUAAGUUAAUAUGCAGUUGUUUAAAAAGUUUAAGAAAUUUUCCAAAUAGUGCAUCCUUGUGGUCUUUCUUCAACUUUUCUGGGUACAGGAUUGGUGGUUUAUAUUCUUUUGGCAUUAGAUUGUCACUGUUUUCUUGUUCGACCUCCUUUAUGUCAGCUUCUUGUGGUGUUUUCUUUUCAGAUUCAACUAACACUUUCCCACUCAUUAGUGUAACUUCUUUCACAUGCUCUUUUGGGUUGGGUUCAGUGUUACUCGGUAGUCUACCUUGUGGUCGUUCAGAUAUCAAUUUAGCGAGCUGACCUAUCUGAGUUUCGAGCCCUUGGAUCGAUGCUUGUUGAUUUUUAAGUGUUGUCUCGGUAUUCUAAAAAUGAGUUUUUGACACUGAGAUGAAUUUUGUUAGCAUCUCCUCAAGGUUUGGCUUUUUCUCUUAUUGGUAGGGUGGUUGUUGGAAGCCUGGAGGUGGUGGUCUCUGAUUCCCUUGGCCUCCCCAUGAGAGAUUUGGGCGGUUCCUCCAACCUGUAUUAUAAGUUUUACUAUAAAGAUUAUUUUGAGAUCGAGGAUUAUUACCCAUGUAAUUUAACUGCUCGUUCUCUAUGUGGUGGUCAUAGGGUGGGUAUUAUGAAUUGCUUGAUCCACCUCUACUUGCUUCGCACUGCAUUACUGGGUAAACCUGUGAAGAACCAAGAAAAUCGUCAAUUUUUUUAUUCAAAAGUUCUACCUAAUUAGAGAGCAUGAUGACUGAAUCGACGUUAAAAACACCGGCUAUUUUUGUUGGCUUUUUCCUCAUGAUUUUCCACUAAUAUUUAGUGACAUUUCUUCUAUAAAGUCAUAAGCAUCCUCAGGUGUCUUAUUAUUGAUAGUUCCACCAGCGGCUGCGUCAAUCAUCUGCCGAGUCGAAGGGUUCAGGCCAUUAUGAAACGUUUGAACCUGUAGCCAGAGUGGUAACCCAUGGUGAUGGCAUCUUCGCAAAAAGUCCUUGUAUCUCUCCCAUGCAUUGUAGAGUGUUUCUAAAUCCAUAUGCACAAAAGAGGAGAUAUCAUUAUGUAAUUUGGCUGUUUUAGCCGGAGGAAAAUAUUUCAAUAAAAACUUUUUGGUUAUUUGUUCCAAAGUAGUGAUUGAUCCUCAUGGUAAUGAGUUCAACCAUUGUUUAGUCUUAUUCCUCAACGAAAAAGGGAAUAAUUAAAGGCGAAUGGCGUUUCUGAUGAUGCCAUUAAUUUUAAAUGUAUCACAUAGUUCCAAAAAGUUUGCCAGGUGAGUGUUGGGAUCUUCGUCCUGCAAACCAUCAAACUGAACAAAUUGUUGUAUUAUUUGAAUUAUGUUAGGUUUCAGUUCAAAAGUAUUUGCAGCAACAGCAGGCCUAACUAUGCUCGAUUCAGUUCCUGUUAAAGAAGGUUUAUCAUAAUCAUACAUAGUACGUGGAGCAGGAUUCUGAUUAGCAGCAAUCGUAGGAGGUAGUAAAUUUUCUUGGUUUUCAAUCAUCUCCUCGGUUGUGGUUGAAGUAUCGUCCUCUUGCUCUUCCUCUGUGUAUCGUAAGUUUUGCCUUAUUUCUCUUCGAUUUUUGCAAACCGUGCGGUCGAUCUCACCGUCAAAAAGUAGUGGUCCUGACGGGUUUGUUCUGGUCAUAAACUAGAAAAAACCUGUAAGAAGAAAAUAAAUGAAAAAUUAGAAAUGAAAAUAAAAAUUUAAAUUGCAAUAAAAGUAAAAUAGAGUGUUCCUAAUAUCCUAGUUCCCCGACAACAGCGCCAAAAACUUGAUACGUGAUAUUCACGAUAGGUUUUAAAUAUUUAUAAUUAAUCGUUCUUGAAACUAACUAUUAUCACGAUGAAGGCAAGUGUACCUAUCGAACAGUAGUAUAGCUUUAGCAAGACUGGAUUGUCGAACCCAAAGGAACCAAGAGUACUAGUAAUUACUUUCUUUUUAUUAUCUAGCCUAAAAAUUAAGGGAUUUGUUUAUCUGAAUUAACUAACUAAACUAAGAGUGCACAGAGAGAAAUUGGGGAAAAGCUUUUGGGAAAAUUAGAUUGAUUAAAACAAUACCCAAGGAAAAAUCCACCAAGACUUCACUUGUUAUUUGACUCUGAACCAGAUGAUUUAUUCAUUUGACUUAAUCCCUAGAAAUCCCUAAGUUAUAUUAUUAUCUCUCGAGACUAAUAACGUCUAACCCUAAGUUGAUUAAUUGAAAUCUCUUUCUAAUUAACACCUAGUGUUGCAUUAACUCGAUUUAUGGAUCCCCUUAUUAGGUUUCACCCUAAUCUGGCAAAAUCUUAUCACCCUAUCUCUAGGCGUGCAAUCAACUCCGCUUAAUUAUGACAAAUUUACUCUUAGACAGGGUCUAUUCCUCCUCUGAAUAAGAGCAUUAACUCGAAUCAAUAUCCUGGAAUAUUAAAACAAGAAUUAAGAACACAUAAUUAAGAACAAGUCAAAUAUUUAUCAUACAAUUCAGAUAAUAAUAACAAGAUCCUUCUUAGGUUUCAUUCCCUUUAGGUAUUGAAGGGGUUUAGUUCAUAAUUAUAGAAGAAAACAUCUCAGAAGAAUAAUGAAUACAAAAUAUAAAGAAAACCCAAAACCCCUGAAUGAAAAUUGAAGGGAGAUCUUCAGUUUUGAUGAUGAAUCUGGCUUCUGAGAUGGAGCAAUCGGCUUUUCUUGAGUAAUUCCUUGCCUCCUAUUCUGCGUCCCCCUUCCUAAGUGCCUCCUUAGGUGUUCAAAUAGCCUUUAGAAUGCCUAAGAGCCCUCAAAAUUGGCUUUUUCCAAAUAGGGUUAUACUUGGGCUUGGCAAGGACACGUUCGUGUGACAUGCCCGUGUGCGAUUACUCCAGCCCGUGGUCAAGGCUGUUGAAUAGGCACGGACGUGUAGUCAACCCGUGUAAGUCGAGCUUCGAUCCUGCCAAAGAGACACAACAAUGUGACACGCCCGUGUGAGGAAGUCUAGGCCGUGUUGAUUUCCCAUGUGGGUCUAUUUUCUCCAUUUUCGAUCCUUUUCUCGUUCUUUUUACUCUCUGAUGCUCACCUAAGUAUAAAACAUGAAAUUAAAGAGUUAGGAGCAUCGAAUUCACCAAAUCUAAGGAGAAAUCAUCCAUAAAUGUGUUCAGCAUGGGAUAAAAAUAUAUACAAAAUACGGUUUAUCAAAGGGUCACACGCCCGUGUGAAUAGGCCGUAUACCUCACAUGGUCACCAGACACGCCCAUGUCACAAACCGUGUGAAAACAGGGCAUACAUACUGACUUAUACCACACGGUCAAGGACACGCCUAUGUGCCAUGACCAUGGGAAAACUAGGGAGGUUACUGACUUGGGUCACACGGCCAACCACACGCCUAUGUGCCAGCCCGUGUGCCAUACAAGACCAGUAGACAUGCCCGUGUGUCUAGGCUGUGUCAAAACUGUAGGGUAUACUACCUUAAUUCGAAACGGUACCCUAAGGGACACACAGUUAUGUAACAUGACCGUGUGUCACACACAGCUAAGACACACGCCCGUGUCUCUACCCGUAUAGACAAAAAUAGGUCAUUUGUAAAGCCAAUUUGUCACCCUUUUUCUCAUGCACACCGAGCCAUCAAAAAUGCUAUCAUUUCAAUACAUAUAUGGGCAGCCAAAACUUGAUAAAUCACACAUAUAUCAUGCCAUCUAUCAUCAACCAUUUCAACUACUCAAUUCCAUAAUAAAAAAUAUACCAAAUCAAUAUACCAAAAUCAUCCAUCUCACAUAACUUUGUAAUAUAUUUUCAUCACCUUUCUUGUAACAUCUCGAAUUAGGGUCUAGUCAAAACAGUGGUUUUGAGACCACAAAUCUAAAAUAGAAAUAAUUAUUUUAUGAUUUUUUGAUAGUCUUUGAUAUGAAUGCUUGUUUGUGUGAAAUUUCCAUGAAGAAAUUCUAUGCUUAAAGUGUCCAAUUUGAAGUUAGAGACUAGAUUGAAUAAGUUGCAAAAUAUGUGUUCUAGAAGCUUCAAGCAUGAAAUUACAUUGGAUUAUAAAUUAGAAGGUCUUAAAUAGCAAUUUGACCAAUUUCUAUAAUUUUGGACAAAAAUGGGCAUGAAUAGGAAAAUUUUGAAAGAAAGGCUUAAAGGGCAUUUUUUUUAUUUGGUUAAUAAAAGAAUAAAAUGGGAAAAUCAAGUCAAAAAUGGUGUCCAUCUUCUCCAAAGGGUGCCGAAAUUUCCAAGAGCCAUAGCUAGGGUUUUGUUCAACUUUUCAAACUUGAUUGUAAGUGCUCCUAAGCCCUAUUUUUUAUGCUCUUUGCAUUUUUUAAGUCCUUGAAGCAUGAUCUAUCCUUUUCUAGCCAUAUUUUGUGACAUGGACCAUGUGUGAAACUUGAACCAUGUGUGAAAUGUUUGUGUUUUGAUGUUUAACAUAAGAAUAUGAAAGUUUGAUGUGUGUUUAACAUCUUUUACGGAGUGAUUUUUGAUAGAAAUGCCUAAAAAUGACUUAUUUGUAAAAGGUAUAAAAGUGGGUGGUAAAAAUGUGAAAUAAAGGAAAAUGUUGGCUGAUAUAAGCAUGGUAUAGGGUCGGUUAGGCUUAGGUAACCAAGAAAAUGCAUGCAUUUCAUUUUACGAGCCUAGAGACUAAAGUGUAAAUAAGUAAAAAAUUAGGGGUAAAAAGGUAAUUUUACCAAAAUAUGUAUUAUUGAUCGAUUUGAACAAUGUAUGUAUUAAAUGAGUUAAAUUUGACAUUAUAGAUCAAGAAAAACGUGAUACGGGUCUUAAUCGGGGGAAAAACAAUAGUUACGAGGAUUAGGCUCGUUUCUAUCAUUUUGUACCGAGGUAAGUUCAUUUGCAAAUUAUGCAACAUGUACCAUACAUUAAAUACUUUAAUAUUGCAUGUAUGGUAAGUAUAUGUAUGAUUAAUGUGAUGUUGUACCAUGUGUUGAUGCUUAAAUUUCAUUAUAAAUUAUUGCUUUAAUUCUCCCAUGUGUAUGUGAUUGGUGCUAUGGAUAUUGAAAUAGACAUUACGAGCAAGUUCGAAUGAAGUAUAGAAGAAUCCCCUUUGAACCUUAGGAAUAGUUUAGGAUACAAGUGACAUGUCACUAGGAAUUAUGUGAUCUGAACUCAUGAGUUGUGGUCUGAGUUCAUGAUAUAUAUGACACAUGUUUUGGCAUUCCGGGUAUUGGUCUUGUAUGUCUACCAAUGGCUGGGUAGUCCAGCAUGUGUUACGGAUACCCAACAGCUUGUGUGAGUAGCCCGUGUAGCUACAUCAUGACCGAUAGCUUGUGUGAGCUAACCCGUGAGUAGAUCAAAAGUGAGCAACAUGUGAUAGAUGAUAUAAGGUACCAGUGGCUACAUAUAAGGCACUUAGGUGCAAGUUUCCAAUGUAUCCGAUGGUAUUCCAAGUGUUCAACGAGUGGUUCAAAGAGAAGAUCCAUAGGUAAUCUUAAUGAACAUGUCAAAGACAAGAAAGUAAGUAUUAUGUGCAAGUUGGUACAGGUAUGUACAUAAACUCAUCAUAAAAGAUCUCGGUAUGCUAUGAACAUGUGGUAAGAAUGUAUAUGAGAAAGUUAUGCUUAUGAAAUAUGAUGAAAUUUAUGAAACUUUGCCUUAUGUUAAUUGUAUGAUUUAUGUUUCUUAUUAUUUGCAUGUAAACUUACUAAGCUUUAAAGCUUACCCUUUUUCCUUUCCUUUCCUUUCCUUAUAAUGUCGCCAAGCUAGCUUAGGGAUUGGAGGAUAUCGGAGUUUUCGGUCACACUAUCAAUUGGAAAAUUUGGUAUAGUUAGAUUCAACAUUUUGAAUAUGGCAUGUAUAGGGACUUGGUCUUUUUGUUAAGUGUCAUAUUGAUUAGCCAAAUGUGUUGGCUCAUUAUGGUGUUAUAAUUCAAUCUAUGUAUGGCCAUGAGAGGUGGCUCUUAUUAAUUAUUUAGGUCCUAAUUAGUUAUGCAUGGAUGCAAAUGUGUUUAUGCUUGUUGUGGUUGCUUGAUGGAUGUAUGAUGACAUGUGGUUGGUAUGCUAAAGGUAUGUGUUGAUGAGGGUGAUGGAUGGCAUGUAUGUUUAAUGCAUGAAAUAUGAUUAAUGAGUAUGACAAUAAAUGUGAUAUAAUGAUGAAUAGAUAUGAAAUUGGUGUGAAAUGCCAUAUGAAAGCCUAAUGAUCUAAGUAUGUGAUAUGUUGACACUACCAAGUUAUAAAUUAACCAUAUAUGUGAAUGCUUGAGUAACAAAAGGUGCCUUGUUGCAUGCCAUGAAGAUAAUGUAGGUCUGUGAAUACUUAAGAGUGGCAAUUGGCUUGGAAAAUAGCCUAGAAGUUGUCCAUAAAGGUAGACACACGGGCAUGUGUCUAGGUCAUGUAUGACACACAGUCUGCCCCAUGGGCGUGUGGUUCAGCCAUAUGUCCCGUGCACCCUAAUUAAUGAAAACAGAAUGCCCAGUAGUAAACACACGGGCAGAGACGCAGCCAUAUGUCUUAGCCGUGUGGAGGACACGGCCUGCGCCCUCCGGACAUAGGCGUGUGCCCAUGCCGUGUGAAGUCUGCACUUAAUUUUGAGAAUUUAAUUUGCCAUACGGCCCAAGCACACAGGCAUGUGACUUGACCGUGUAACCUUAAUUGUAUGAUGACGUCAUAGUCAGAGACUUACACGGGUUGAGGAUACGGACAUGUCCCAAGCCACACGGGCGUGUGUGACCACACGGCCUAUCCACAUGGGCGUGUGACUCUCUAAAACAAGAAAAUUUUCUAAGUGUCAAAAAGAUUCUGAAAGUUCUCAGUUUAGUCCCAAAUCUCUUUCGAUGUAUGUUUUGGGCCUCAUAAGCCCGUUUAAGGGAUAAUUUGCAUGAAAUUGAAAAGUUUUAAAUUUGAACAAAAUUUUUUGGCCCAAUUUUGUGUGAAUUUUAUGUUCUAGUCCGGUAACGCCUCGAACCCUGACCCGGCGUUAGAUACGGGUAAAGGGUGUUAUAUUUAGUAGUAUCAGAGCUGCAAUUUUGUCUAUUCUCGAACUAACGUAGCAUGUGUACAAGUCUAGCUAUACAUGCCAUACAUAUAUUAUGAUAGUGUGAUGACUUCUGAUGAUUUAAAAAUGUGUUUUCAUAUAGUAAAUAGUCCUGAUAGAGUAGUGGAGGAUGAUGUUGAAAGUAACGUGCCUGCUCCUGCUCAAGGAGUAGUGUUGUUUGAUAGUAAACCCACAACUGUUAGUAGAGGAGAAGGAGGCAGGGAAGCCUUUCUCCAUAUGAUGGACGCCUGGUACACGGAGUUCAUUCGAACGAACCUGAACGCUCAACCUUCCCCACCCCUUCAAAUCCCCAACCCGUACCCCAAGUGCCUCAUGGUAUGGAUUUUAUGAGAGUUCAUAGAACCCUAGAGUUCAUAGAACCCUAGUUGACAAAAUUCGAAAGCAAGGAGUAGAGGAACUUAGGGCCAAUGCUGAUGAUGACCUUUAGAAAGUGGAAUUUUGGCUUGAAAAUUCUAUUCGGGUAUUCAAUAAGCUAUCAUGCACACCUGAAGAGUGUUUGAAGUGUGCUAUUUCCUUAUUCAGAGAUGCGGCAUAUCAUUGGUGGAAGACACUAGUUUCGGUGGUUCCGAAAGAAAGGGUCACAUGGGGAUUCUUUCAAGAUAAGUUCUGAAAGAAAUACAUCAAUGAACGAUUCAUUGAUCAAAAGCGUAAGGAAUUUCUUGACUUGAAAUAAGGUUGUAUUUUAGUUAUUGAGUACGAAAGAGAGUUUGUUCGGUUCAGUAAAUAUGCUCAGGAGUGUGUAUCCUCUGAAGCUAAAAUGUGUAGAAGGUUUCAAGACAGACUUAAUAAGGAUAUUAGAGUGUUAGUGGGUAUUCUUGAGCUGAAGGAAUUUAUUGUGCUCGUUGGUCGAGCUUGUAAAGCUGAGGAACUGACCAAUGAAAAGAGAAAAGCUGAGGCUGAGGCUAGAGAGAUAAGGAAGAGGCUGAUGAGCAAGUCAUUUUCGUUUCAGUCUAAGAAAUCUAGAGAUAUGUAUUCCCGUUCUCAUGUUUCGACUGGGCAUUCGUACAAAAAUUGUAAAAAGUAAAAUUCAGGUUUUAAAUCUCAGGCUAUAUCUAUGGCUAGUGUGGGUAAUGAUAGACCUUCCAGGCCCGAGUGCCAACAAUGUGGUAGAGGCCAUUUUGGUAAAUGUAGGGUGAACGACGAAUCUUGUUUUCGAUAUGGUUCUCAAGACCACUAUAUCAAAGACUGUCUUGAGAUUAUCAAGAAAGAAAAAUUUCAGAGUACAAGGCCGGGUAGAACGGCUAAAAAAGGGAAACCCUCGAGAAAUGCCGGUAAUAGGGCUAGUAGCAAAACUGUAGCGGAAGAAAUAGUGGUGAGAUCUGAAGCUAGAGCACUGGCCUAUGCCAUACAUGUGCGUGAGGACGCAUCUUCUCCCAAUGUGAUCACUGAUACUUUUUCUCUUUACAGUACUACUAUUAUGCCUUGAUUGACCCUGGUUCUACUCAUUCAUAUGUAUGCAUGAAAUUGGUAUCUAGCAUGAAAAUGCCUGUUGAGUCUACAGAAUUUAUGAUUAAGGUGUCAAACCUGCUAGGCAAGCAUGUUUUAAUUGAUAAGGUAUGUAAGAAAUGCCCUUUAAUGAUUAGAGGUUAUUGUUUUCUGGCUGACUUGAUGUUGUUAUCAUUUGAUGAAUUUUAUGUUAUAUUGGGUAUGGAUUGGUUAACAUUUCAUGAUGCUAUAGUGAAUUGUAGACAGAAAAUUAUUGAAUUGAAGUGUGAAAACGGUGAAAUUCUUCAAGUUGAAUUAAAUGAGCGAGUGAAAUUCUUCGAGUUGAAUUAGAUGAGCGAGAUAGAUUGCCAAUCAUAAUUUCUUUAAUGCCGGCUCAGAAAUGUAUGAGAAAAGUGUGUGAAGCUUAUUUGGCUUAUGUGUUGAAUACAAAAGAGUCUGAAUUGAAGAUUGAAUCACUGCCUGUCGUAUGUGAGUAUUGGAUGUAUUCCCGAAAGAAUUUCCAGGCUUACCUCCAAUUAGAGAAGUGGAGUUUGGUAUUGAAGUGAUGCCAGGGACAGCACCUAUCUCGAUUGCUCCAUAUAUGAUGGCCCCAACUGAGUUGAAAGAACUAAAGUCACUGUUGCAAGAAUUGACCGACAAGGGUUUUGUGAGACCGAGCUUUUCACUGUAGGGUUCUCUGGUGUUAUUCAUGAAGAAGAAAGACGAAUCUAUGAGGUUUUAUAUAGAUUACCGACAGCUCAAUAAGGUGACAAUCAAGAACAAGUAUCCUUUACCAAGGAUUGAUGACCUGUUUGAUCAACUAAAAGGAGCGACAUGGUUUUCUAAAAUAGACUUGAGGUCCGGCUACUAUUAGUUGCGAGUUAAAGAGUCAGAUGUGCCUAAAACUGCUUUUAGAACAAGGUAUGGCCACUAUGAACUUCUUGUUAUGUCAUUUGGGUUGAUGAACGCUCAUGCUGUGUUUAUAGAUUUAAUGAAUUGAAUAUUUCAGCCAUAUUUGGACAAGUUUGUCAUUGUGUUUAUUGACGAUAUUUUGAUUUAUUCGAGAGAUGAGAUAGAACAUGCCGAGCACUUGAGAACUGUUUUACAGACUUUAAGAGACAAACAGUUGUAUGCUAAGUUUAGUAAAAGCGAUUUUAGGCUUCGAGAAGUUGGAUUUUUGGGCCACAUUGCUUCAGGUGAUAGUAUCCGAGAUCCUAGUAAGAUUUUUUCUAUUGUCGAUUGGAAACUUCCAAGGAAUAUAUUUGAGGUUAGAAGAUUUUUGGGCUUAGUCGGUUACUACCGACGGUUC
rnacentral:lncRNA from 1 species